CAACCUCAACUAUACAAUGACUAGGAGGUGGGCCGGACUAUACAAUAUACAUGCACGAACCAUAUAUUCAACACCCCCCCCCCCCACGCAGUCAAAGCGUCGCCGGAGACGCAAAGACUGGACCUAAACUCCUCGAAAACAGAAGUAGGCAGUCCUUUUGUCAUAACAUCGGCAAACUAUUGCGCCGUCGGGACGUGGAGGACCCGGAUGCGCCCAAGGGCCUCCUGCUCACGAACAAAGUGUAUGUCGAGCUCAAUGUGCUUCGUUCGUCGAUGGUGGACCGGGUUGGCGGAGAGGUACACGGCGGAGACGUUGUCGCAGUAGACGAGCGUGUCCUUGUGAACAUCACAAAGCAACUCCUGGAGCAGCUGACGAAGCCAAGAGCAUUCGGCAACGGCGUUAGCCACUGCCCGAUACUCUGCCUCGGCACUCGAGCGGGAGACUGUGGGCUGUCACUUGGAAGACCAAGAGAUCAGAGACGGCCCAAGGUAGACACAAUACCCCGAAGUGGAGCGUCGUGUGUCCAGGCAGCCAGCCCAGUCCGCAUCAGAGUAGGCGACGAGGUCGGUGGAGGCGGAGGCCGUCAGUGUAAGUCCCAUGGACGGGGUGCCGCGUAUGUAACGGAGGAUAUGCUUCACCAAGGUCCAGUGAGAGUCACGCGGAGCAUGCAUGUGAAGACAGACCUGCUGAACGGCAUACUGCAAGUCAGGGCGCGUCAGAGUAAGGUACUGCAAAGCACCCACAAUGGAGCGAUAGAAGGCCGCGUCGGAUGCGGGAGAGCCCUACAGAGCUGAAACCUUGGCCUUGGUGUCAACACGCGUGGGAGCGGGCUUGCAGUUAAGCAUGCCAGCACGAUCGAGAAGCUCAUGGGCGUAACGCUGCUGGUGCAGAAAGAACCCAUCUGGCCGUCGAACCACCUCAAUGCCGAGGAAAUAGUGGAGGGGCCCCAAGUCCUUCAGGGCAAACUCAUCGCGAAGGCGAGCAGUAAGCCGCUGGAGGAGCGCUACAGUGGAUGCCGUCAGGAUGAUGUCGUCGGCGUAGAGCAACAAGUAGGCCGUGUCAACCCCGUGAUGGUACACGAAGAGGGACACGUCGGAGCGAGUCGAUGUAAAUUUGAGCGUCUGCAGGAAGGCAGCGAUGCGUUGGUACCAGGCCCGAGGCGUCUGCUUCAACCCGUAAAGAGAACGGGAGAGCAAGCACACAUGGUCCGGAUGUGUGGCGUCGACGAAGCCGGUGGGCUGCUCACAGAACACCUGCUCGGCGAGGUGGCCGUGCAAGAAGGCGUUGGAGACGUCCAACUGAUGCACAGGCCAAGCUCGGGAGAUGGCCAGCUGAAGCACGGUGCAGAUCGUGCCCGGUUUAACAAUCGGGGCAAAAGUGUCGGUGAAGUCCAUGCCCGCACGUUGCCGAAAGCCUCGAACCAUCCAGCGAGCUUUGUAGCGCUCGAGAGUGCCAUCCGGACGAGUCUUGUGCCGAAAGACCCACUUGCCCGUGAUGAUGUUGGCACGAGGCGGCCGAGGGACAAGCUGCCAGGUACGGUUCCGUUGGAGCGCGUCGAACUGUUCCUGCAUCGCAGCGAGCCAAUGAGGAUCCGGAAGGGUGGCUCGAGCUGACGAUGGGAGAGGGGACGACUCGAAGAUGGAAGCAGCGAGAAGAUACUCAUCGCUGGUGUACUGCGUACUCGGGCGUAAGGUGCCAGCCCGAGAGCGAGUCAUCGGGCNNNNNNNNNNNNNNNNNNNNNNNNNNNNNNNNNNNNNNNNNNNNNNNNNNNNNNNNNNNNNNNNNNNNNNNNNNNNNNNNNNNNNNNNNNNNNNNNNNNNNNNNNNNNNNNNNNNNNNNNNNNNNNNNNNNNNNNNNNNNNNNNNNNNNNNNNNNNNNNNNNNNNNNNNNNNNNNNNNNNNNNNNNNNNNNNNNNNNNNNNNNNNNNNNNNNNNNNNNNNNNNNNNNNNNNNNNNNNNNNNNNNNNNNNNNNNNNNNNNCGAAGACGAAGAAGAGCCCGCCACCGCCGAUGCCAUGGGCAAGACCGCGGGCGAGGCCGCGGGCGAAACCGCCGCGGGUGUGGUCGCGGGCAAGGCCGCAGGCGAGGGCGCGGGGAGCGCCGAGGAGGCCCGCGCGGCAGCCGGGGAGGCCGAUGGCGGCGCAGGGGAUGUCGCGGGCGCCGGGAGGGGUGCAGCCCCUAAGGCAGCCAGCCGGGGAGGAACUCGACCCGUGGCGCGGGGGGCACCCUCAAAGCCGGGAGGCGGCCCGAGAGAAGCUCGCGAGCGGCCGUCACCUGGAGCGGGCAAGGCCGCAACAUCCGAAGGUACCUGCUGAAACGGAAAAACCAUCUCAUCAAAGUAAAUGUGUCGGGAGGUGAUCACCCGAUGUGAGAUAGGAUCAUAGCAGCGGUAGCCUUUGGUGUUGGGGGGAUAGCCAAGAAAAAUACAUGCCACGGACCGUGGUGCGAGCUUAUGAGUAGUGGAAGCGAUGCUAGGGUAGCACAGGCAACCGAAGAUGCGGAGCUCGGUGAAGGAAGGUGGCGUGCCGAACAAAAGAUGAUGAGGAGUAAAAUUCCCGCGAGUGCGACAGGGACGGAUGUUGAGGAGUAGUGAUGCGGUGGCGAGCGCGUCGGGCCAGAAACGUGGUGGCACGUUGGCGUGAAAGAGGAGGGUGCGAACGCAGUCAUUAAGAGUGCAAAGCACGCGCUCAGCGCGGCCAUUUUGUUGCGAAGUGUACGGGCAAGUGAGACGAAAAAUCGUGCCGUGUGUGGCGAGAAGAUUGCGGAUCGCAAGAUUAUUGAACUCCUUCCCGUUGUCUGUUUGCAACGCAUGAAUGGGGCGACCAAACUGCAUGGAGACAUAGGAGUAGAAUGCGGAGAGAGUGGCAACAGAAUCCGACUUUCGCCGCAACGGGAAGGUCCACAAAUAGUGCGAAAAAUCAUCAAGUAUAACAAGAUAAUAAAGAUAGCCCGUGUUACUUGCAACAGGAGAGGUCCAAACAUCACUAUAAAUUAACUCAAAUGGGUAUGAUGCAACAUGGGAGGAAGUGCUAAAGGGUAAACGAACAUGUUUACCGAGACGACAAGCAUGACAAGUGUGAUCGUCGAUCUUAUUACAUGUGAAAGAAAAACUACGAAGAAUAUGACGAAGGGUGGCGGUGUUGGGAUGACCGAGACGAGCAUGCCAAAGGUCCACUCCGGCGGAAAGCGCCAUGGGUGCAGCGACAGAGGAUGUGGAUGAGUGGACCGGGUAGAGCUCGUCGGGGUUGUCACAUCGGUGGAGCAUCAUCCGGGUACGGGCAUCCUUAACAGAAAAGCCAAACAUGUCAAAUUCAACGGUGACAGGAUUUUCACGUGUAAGAGAACGAACGGAAACUAGAUUUUUAAUGAUGUCAGGUGAAACGAGUACGUUAGAAAGAUAUAAUGGCAUGGAGUUAGACGGAAAAGCAGCAUGGCCGACAUUAGUGAUAGGCAUGGAGGAACCGUCGCCCACGGUAAUACGAGCAGCGGUGUGAACGGGGUGAGCGGUAAGAAGGUUACCGGGAUUGGCGGCCAUGUGAGCCGUGGCUCCGGUGUCCAUAUACCAGUCACCACCGCCAGUGUACUGAUGUGGCGUGGGGGCGGUGUGGAGGGCCGCUAGCAGCGCGGGGUCCCAAGGCGCCGGCAGGAGGGCCGGGGCCGACGGCAGCGGCUGUGGCGGCAGCGGCGCGAACCCACCGGCUGAAGGCAGCCCAUAGGCCGCCGAGGGGCCGUAGAGCGGCGCCGGCUGAUACGACUGAGGGGCCGCAUACAGAGCCUGAUGAGGGGCCGGGUGAGCGCCAAAAAAAACGGGGACGGGGGCACGCGGUAUAGGCAUGGAGUACGCGUGAACAACCCCCGUCCAGGGGUUCUGGCCGGCCUGCCAGGGCGCCGGCGGGAGCUGUUGCUGCGGCUGGCGCGGCGCCCCGCCGUGGGCAGAUAAUCGUUAACAGACGAGUCAAGCUGCUAGCACCCAAAAAACUCGCCGUGCAAGAAAACCUUGCGUUGGAGCGCGUUGUCGGUGAAGAGGCCGUUGAGCUUAGUCCAAACGGCGUGAGCGUCAUCAUCGGCGGAGACCACCAUGUGGAAGAGGUCCUUCGAGAUGGUGGUGUAGAAUCAGCGGAUGAGAGUGGUGUCGAUGGACGUCCACUCCUCAUCGUCCUCCAUGAAGCGGGAGUCCACGGAGCCAUCGAUGUGAUCCCGGAGAUUGUACUCACGGAACACAAGGGAGAAGUACGUCUUCCAGGCAUAGUAGGUGGAGGUGAGGUGGUCGAGGACGACGGGAACCCGAGCGAGGAUAUUGAGAUCGCGGAUGACGACGGGAUCGGGGCCUUCGAAGGGGUUGGUGCGGCGGCUGCGGGUGGUACCGAUGGAACCGGGGGAGGCCAUAGCCGAGAGGGGGGUGCGGCGGCGCGUGGUGAAGCGGCACAGCGAGGGGGAUGGCGGCGCGGCGGGUGGCGGCGCUGCGGGGUGCGGGCGGAAGCGCGAGGCGGCNNNNNNNNNNNNNNNNNNNNNNNNNNNNNNNNNNNNNNNNNNNNNNNNNNNNNNNNNNNNNNNNNNNNNNNNNNNNNNNNNNNNNNNNNNNNNNNNNNNNNNNNNNNNNNNNNNNNNNNNNNNNNNNNNNNNNNNNNNNNNNNNNNNNNNNNNNNNNNNNNNNNNNNNNNNNNNNNNNNNNNNNNNNNNNNNNNNNNNNNNNNNNNNNNNNNNNNNNNNNNNNNNNNNNNNNNNNNNNNNNNNNNNNNNNNNNNNNNNNNNNNNNNNNNNNNNNNNNNNNNNNNNNNNNNNNNNNNNNNNNNNNNNNNNNNNNNNNNNNNNNNNNNNNNNNNNNNNNNNNNNNNNNNNNNNNNNNNNNNNNNNNNNNNNNNNNNNNNNNNNNNNNNNNNNNNNNNNNNNNNNNNNNNNNNNNNNNNNNNNNNNNNNNNNNNNNNNNNNNNNNNNNNGCGGCGGCGGCGGUACGAAGUGGCGGCGGCGGCGGCGAUGGGAUCGCCACGGCGGCGGCGGCGGCAAGGGUUAGGGUUAGGAUCGUAGGUAUGAUACCAUGUUGGAAACGAAUAUUUUGGCAAUGCUACUCGAUGUAUUGAUCGGUGCAUAGUGCACGUAUAUAUGGAGUACAAGGUGGGCCAUAACCUCAAUUAUACAAUGACUAGGAGGUGGGCCGGGCUAUACAAUAUACAUGCACGAACCAUAUAUUCAACAAGGGCGACCCAGCUUCCCCGCUGCUAUUCAACUUUGUGGCCGAUGCCCUGGCUGCAAUGCUGGAUAGCGCUCGGAUGGCUGGUCAUCUAAGGGGGGUGGCCAACCAACUGGUGCCGGGCGGGGUUUCUCGUAUACAGUACGCAGACGACACGUUGCUGCUGUUUGAGCCGGACAGGCAUAACAUAGCUAUUGUCAAAGCUAUCCUGUUAAGCUUCGAGCUUAUGUCAGGCCUUAAAAUCAACUUUCACAAAAUGUGAAGUAAUCUCCAUGGGGAUGGGGACGGCUGAGGGUCAGGAAGUGGCAGAUUUGCUCAACUGCAAAUUGGGCUCUCUCCCAUUUCAGUACCUCGGGCUACCUAUAGGGGAUCGGUCUCCAACCAUUCAGGACUGGGCCCCCCAAUGCAAUACGGUAGCGGGUCAGGUUGGGCCGUGGCGGGGUAGAUUCAUGUCGUCAGGAGCACGGCUAAUCUUAACCAACUCCAGUCUAUCCUCGCUACCCAUGUUUACCAUGGGUCUGUUUUUGUUAGCCGAAGGCGUGCACUCCAAGCUCGAUAUGCCUCGGUCCCGCUUCUUUUGGGAAGGAGCCAGCCCUAAACGGAAGUACCACCUUGUCAAAUGGACAGUUGUGUGUCGUCCCAAGUCCCAGGGGGGAUUGGGAGUGAUGAACUCCAGGCUGAUGAACGUGGCGCUUAUGUGCAAAUGGAUCUGGAAGUUGUCCCAAGGCGAAUCAGGGCUCUUUGCAGACCUCCUCAAAGCCAAAUACUUCCUGACGGGCAAUUUCUUCGCGGCCAUAGGGAGGGGAUCUCCCUUCUGGAACUCCAUUCAGAAGCUUAAACCAAUCUUCGCCAUGGGAGCGAAGUUUUUGGUCAAGGACGGAUGCUCAACUCGUUUCUGGUUGGACUGAUGGAUCGGUGACCAACCUCUUUGGUCCAGGUUCAUAGACCUGUUUAACAUAGCGAUGGAGCCACGCAUCUUUGUGACUCAAGCUAUGGCUGCUUCCCCGCCGGUGUUGCUGUUCCGCCGCGAACUCACCGCCCCGGAGACGACAAGUUUGGGAAACUUGUUGACCCUUGUUGAGGGGGUGGUGUUAUCCCCUGGCCCGGACAUUGUUUCGUGGCACCUCAACGCCUCUGGCAAGUUCACUGUAAACUCCCUUUACCGCGCUCUCGCUAGGGGCCCCCACCAGCAGGUGGCUUCAGGGCUAUGGAAAGCUAGGAUGCCCCUUAGGCUUAAAGUUUUCCUCUGGCAGUUGUGUCAUGACAAACUUCCCACGUCCGUCAACAUAGCCAAACGCAACGGUCCGGCCAGUGGGCCGUGUGCGGUCUGUGGGGAGCCAGAAAGCGCUAACCAUGUCUUCUUCGAGUGCCACCUCGCCCGGUUCGCGUGGAGUGCGGUCCGCGAGGCCGCUGGCCGGGAUUGGGAUCCCAGCUCUAGUUCGGAGAUGUGUGCUCUAGUGUCGUCGGUCAGUGGCACCGCUCGGCGUGUCAUGUGGUGUUGCGUAGGGGCGUUACUCUGGGCACUUUGGCACAUUAGAAACAACAUAUCGAGGGUGUCUUCCCCUCUCAUCCUGCUGACGUAAUCUUCAAAUGUGUCAUUUUCUUGCAGCAGUGGGCGCAUUUGGGAAGGCGCCAAGACAUUGAUCUUCUGCAGCUCGCUCUUGCCCGUCUUCGCCAGGUCUACGCUUUGGCAAGAGCUCCUGCACCGCCCCCCUAGGGAAGUGUGGCUCCUUUUGGCAUCAUCUUCGCGAGCCUGCGUGCUCUGGUCCAGCCGGCUUAGGCUUGUAAUCCAAAACUUUCCCUCACCUUGCUCGCGUGUCAAUCGUUGAAGAACUACACAAGGCCCGAAAUCCAAACUGUCGUCCGCUAUGGCUAUCCGGUGAUGUCAGUCCGCCUACGUCGACAUCCAAACCUGCUAUGUCUAAUCGGUUUUGGAAGACCCAGAGAUCUCGCACGCCCAAAAGAAAUAUUGGUUUGGUCGCACCCACGAUAGAAUCAUCAUAAUCUAACGGCAUCUCCUACAAUUAUGUGGCACGUCUGACAACUCCCAUUGACCCGUCCCUGAGCCACGGCUCAGAUGGAAAAGCUGCUGGACACACUCACAUGCACUAUGGAACAGGCGUCCCGAGCUACAGAAAUGGCCCACUGUACUGCACUGUACCAUCCAGUAUAUUGCACAUAUCUAAUUUUCCAACGCACAAGUUCUGACAUGCCAGUGGGAUUUUCUAACAUCCCAAUGCACCAUUCAACGCCCAAGAUUUCAGGUCAGCUGGACCUGGGCACCGAAACGCCCUUUCGGUUUAGAUCACUAGUUGAUAAUUCUCAUCAGACAAACUAACUUGUUAACUCUCAGCUGGGAAUCACAGGGUUAGGUUCUGCAGCUGCGUAUCAAGCCAAAGGGAUAGCAGCCCACUGCCGUGCUAAAUGUUCAGUCGUGGUUGUAAACAGCUAAAGGUCAAUGGCUCAAGCCCAGAUUGGUUUGGCAGGAAAUCAGACCCUAUGGUGACUGAUAUCUACCCACUGCAAUGCUGAGUGUUCCGCCCCAGUUUAAAUUAGCCAGGUAUGUACGCCGUUGCUGGCUAGCUGGUGGCUGCCACUUCCCCUUCCUGCAUCAAUCAGGACAAGAUUGAUUCCACACGUUUCAAAAGGAUCAAAUAUAUUUCCAGACAUUUGAGUGGCGACAAACUAAUUGAUAAGAUGAUCAAUUUUGAUUUUUUCAAAGCAACGUUAAUCUAGUAUGGUCAUGGUUACCUAACAUCUUAACAUGUGCAGAGCUAGCCAAUGCAGAGCUGUAAUCGUACUACUUAGUCUAGGCAUGCUUGUGUUUGCGAAUGACCACUGGUUACUCAUCCAACAACCGGACCAAGAUCUCUAACCAGUGGAUGCUGUUGAAGGAGAUAAGGAUAUUUUGCUUCACUUGACUUGGCCGCACACAGAUGUAGCUCGAUUCGUUUCAGGCAUGACUAGUGUGUGAAUGGGUUGUUGUCGCCGCUCUUACUCGCUCACAGCAACGGUCGUUAGUAGAUGGAUGUACUGGGCCUGAUAUCUUACUUGACUUGUCUUCAUUUCCGUGGAUGCGCAGAGACAGCUGCGAUGCCACUGAAGCGUGACAGGGCGGGCUCUCUCUUGCGCGCUCGGCAAGUCAGUGGUUGGUUGGUCACUGUAGUAUAUGGGCAGCUACUCGACCUAGCUAGGUGGUGGUGGAGCAAUGAACCCUAAACCCUAAACCUUUGCCCGCCUUACCGCCUCCGGCUGCUCUCAGCGAGGAGCUCGGAGGAGACCUUGUUGUCUAGACCAUCUGCCAUGGAAGUGAUCUAGAAGGGAGUUUAGAAGAGAAUGCAAAAUAUGUGUGGGAACGAGCGAGCUCCCAAAAAAUGCUCGCUCCUCUCACGUGUGUGGCCGUCAGCGCACAACAACCUACGCGGCGGCGGCGGCGAGGGCUGGGGAUUUAUCGCGUGGGGAACAGCCGGAGAGGCCAAUCGUCUAUUUUUUUUCAAAGUAAUUAAUUUGAUAAAAAUAUAUCCUUUUUUUGGGAAUAGAUAAAAAAUGUAUCCUAACGCUGAGAUGAACCAAACUCAAAUUUAUCACAUUUCAAUUUUCGAAAAACAAUUUUAGAAUGAACCGGUUAUUGCUGCAUCCACACAUCGUGCGGCAACACAUAUCUCAGAGCAUAUGUGUCUUCCUCUUUGAAACAUUUUACGCACCAAGUCUUUGUGCUCCUCGUCGACAGCCAAGGUGCGAAAGGUCAUGACCGUGACUUCAACGACAGCUAAGAUGCGGACGAUGCCGCCCUUGACCAGCAGGUGGAGCGUAGGAAUGCGGCGCCAUUGACUUGUAGUCCGGUGGCGCAUACACAGGCUCCCGCUUCACAAAGAGAGUGGCGCGGCGAAUGGAAUCAUACCACCAAAGAGCGAGAUGGCCUGCAGGGCUGGAGGCGAGAAGAUACAUGCAUUUGUUUUCCUCCAAUAGUUUAGAUGACUUGAGAUGGAUACAAAACUGAAUUCAUAUCACACUCAUAUUGGCAUCCCAGGAGCGUGGAGUAUAUAUAGGACUCCUAUACAUCUCUUGUCUAUGAUACUAGCUCUUUUAGGAAGAAAAAAUAAAUUGCAAGCAUGGGAUAUGUGUUGAGCAAGUCAUUAAAAAUGUUUCAUUUUAUCAUGUGACUGGACCAUGGAAUCAUUGAUCAUCCCGCUUGCAUGUUUGUGUUAGCAUCCAAUGACAUGGUAAAAGAACAUACUAUACAUGGUACUCUCAUAUGUACCAUCACUCCAAGUGCGCCGCAUCAUGAAAGUCGAGUUAAUUGCAUACAAGUACCAUAAUUGGGGCAUCACAUGCAGAUUGGUACCACGAUUGCUAAUUUUUGCGUGUCAGUAUCAACAUUGCUCUAGAUUUUUGCAAAUAGGUCUAAACUGCGUAUAAACACGUAUUGACGGUGUAUCUGACUAGCGGGGCCCGCCCGUCAGGUGCCGACGUGGCAUGUUUUUUGCAGAAAACCCCCGCCCUCGCCCUCGCCCUCUCGCUCCGCGCCCGCCUCGCCGCCCUCGCCCUCGCCCUCUCCCCGUGGCGGCCUCCUACCUCAGCCGGCGCUUGUCCGACCUGUCCAGCCACCCCUGCUUCGCCCGGAACGCGCUCUGCCGCGAGCUGCUGCACUCCGUGGCCGCCACGCUCGCCGACGCGGCCGAGCUCGCCGCGCGGUGCCGCGGCCCGCCCAGGGACGGGAAGCUGCAGACGCAGAGCGCCAUCGACGCGCUCGGCGCCCGGCUCGACGUCAACCUCCGCGACUGCGCGCUGCUCGUCCGGACCGGCGUGCUCUCCGACUCCGACGCGUCCGCCGUCGCCGCCCCGGCGACGGCGCAGGCGGACGUGCGGGAGCUGCUCGCGCGGCUGCAGAUCGGGCACGCCGAGGCCAAGACCCAGGCAGUGGACGGGCUCCUCGACGCGCUCAACCGGGACGAGAAGAGCGUGGUGUCGGUGCUCGGCCGCGCCAACUUGUCCGCGCUGGUGCAGCUGCUCACGGCGCCGGCGCCCAAGGCGCGGGAGAAGGCCGCCAUGGUGAUAUGCCGGCUCGCGGAGUCGGGAGGUGGCGCCUGCGAGGGGCUGCUCGUGUCGGAGGGCGCGCUUCCGCCGCUCAUCCGGCUGGCCGAGUCCGGCAGCAGCCUCGUCGGCCGUGAGAAGGCCGUGCUCACGCUGCAGCGCCUCUCCGCGUCCCCCGACGUCGCACGCGCCAUCGCCGGCCACGGGGGACUCCGUGUCCCAGUCCGCGGCGGCCGGCGCGCUCAAGAACCUCUCCGCGGCGCCCGAGGCGCGGCAAGCGCUGGCCGACGAAGGCAUUGUCCGCGUCAUGGUCAACCUGCUGGACUACGGCACCGUGCUGGGCUCCAAGGAGCACGCCGCCGACUGCCUGCAGAACCUCACAUCGGGCGGCGACAGCUUCCGGCGCUCCGUCGCGCACGACGGCGGGCUGCGCAGCCUGCUCCUCUACCUGGACGUGCCGUCGCCGCAGGAGUCCGCGGUGCGCGCGCUCGGGAACAUGGUGGACGCCAUCUCGCCCGACACCAUCGUGUCCCUCGGCGUGCUCCCGCGGCUGGCGCACGCGCUCAGAGCCGGGUCACCCGGCGCGCAGCAGGCUGCAGCAACGGCCAUAUGCAGGAUGUCCGCCAGCGGCAGCAGGGACAUGAAGCGGCUGGUGGGCGAGCACGGCUGCAUCCCGCUGCUGGUGCGGAUGCUGGACGCCAAGUCGGCCGGCGCGCGCGGGGCGGCGGAGCAGGCGGUGGCGAGCCUGGCGGCGGGGCACCCGGGCAACGCGCGGGAGGUGCGGAGGGACGAGAGGAGCGUGCUGAGCCUGGUGCAGCUGCUGGAGCCGAGCCCGGCGAACACGGCGAAGAAGACGGUGAAGGCCAGCUGCGUGGACACGGGCACGAACGACAGCCCGUACGCGUACAGGAAGUCGUCGGCGCCGGUCGCCAGCCCGAGCCCCGCAGCGGCGAGCAGUAUCCUCGGCGGGGUCAGCACCACUGGCGCGCUGGGGUCGUGCGCGCGCCGGCUGAGGUAGGAGGCCGCCACGGGGAGAGGGCGAGGGCGAGGGCGGCGAGGCGGGCGCGGAGCGAGAGGGCGAGGGCGAGGGCGGGGGGUUUUCUGCAAAAAAACAUGCCACGUCGGCACCUGACGGGCGGGCCCCGCUAGUCAGAUACACCGUCAAUACGUGUUUAUACGCAGUUUAGACCUAUUUGCAAAAAUCUAGAGCAAUGUUGGUACUGACACGCAAAAAUUAGCAAUCGUGAUACCAAUCUGCAUGUGAUGCCCCAAUUGUGGUACUUCUGUGCAAUUAACUCCAUGAAAGUCACCUGAAACAUGAGAACUGGUUCAUUUUAGCUAUCUUUUCAGUUCUGUGUGAAGAAUAUCAUAUCAUCCGUGUGAUGGUAUUCUAUACCUAGUAAUGAAGCAAGGUGCGUUUCUUCAAUUUUUUCAUCCGUUCAUCUUCAAAAGUACUUUUUGUUUCUAUCCGAGGUGGUACUAAACUUUUAUGCAUCUAUCCGCUAGGAAAGAAAAAAGGUUUGUCCAGAAUUCCGUAAUUGGGCCGCGCACGCUCCGGCCCAAUGAAGCCAACGCACUUAUUAUUGCCCACGUAGUUGGGAAGACCUUAUUUGUUGUAUUGAGCGAUGAAUAGUUGAAGCUGCCCACAGGACGCCUAAAACUGGGUCGGCCCGUUAACUAUUAUAAAAAAUCAUGUUUUGAAAUUUUCUCAUUUUUUAAUUUUUUUUGUGUUUUUCAAAAUUUCUUAGAUAUUUUUUAAUAAAAACUACAUUUUAUAAAGUGUUCCAUAUAUAAAACUAUUCCUGUUUUACUGACAUGUUCACAAAAAAUAUAAAAUAAUAUUUUUGUCUAAGAAAACAUUUUCUAGAAUUGUUUUGAAUGUUCCCCUUUUAAAAAGAUAAAACAAUUCAAAAAUAUUUGUGUGUUUAUAAAAUUAUCAUGUUUUCAAAAUAUUGUUUAUGAAUUUCAGAAACUAUUAAUGUUUCUAAUUUUUGUGUUUUUCCAAAAAUAUUGGAUCUUUCAAAAAAAAUUGUCGCAUCUUUUGAAAAUUGUUUGGGAUUUAUUAAAUUGUUCACGUUUCCAAGAAUAUUCGCCAAUUCAUAUUUACGUUGAAUGUUCAAAAAAAACUAAGAAAUAUUUCUAAUAUUACGCUAUAGUAUUUUCUUUAAUAUUUGCGCUCGCCAUUGGUUGGCGGUGCAUGGUCGUUCUGUGCUGGUUGACUAUAAAUGAAAGAAAUUAUGGGCACAUGCCAAUAAAAGAGAAUAUGUUGUUUGGCUUUAAUUAGAGUAAAAUAAUGGGCACUUGAGCACUAAAAUAAUCAAAGAGAAUAAACCCUCAAACAGAAGGCCCCUGGGAUGCCCUUUGGCAGGUCUCAGCUCUAGGCCCCCAAGACCACGGCUCACACAAUGUUGGUACCACCACACAUGUUGAACCAAUAGAUGUUGGUAUUUUGAUCUUGCUCUGUUGACCAGGAGUACGAUGUAAUGUAUGUAGGUGUCUUCAGGAUCAGUGGCAAAAUAUGCCGAGAAGAACGUGUGCACGGUGAGUUAAAAGAUUCAGAUAUGGUCUUUUUUUUAAUCUCUGUAGUUCUCCUUGUGCUGUUUCUCAUAGAUUUUUCAGUUUUACCUUUGUUCCCAUAUGGCUGCAAGCACCCUUAAUCGCAAAAGCUAGCUACAUCGAUGCGCCGCCGCCGAGGACAACGCCCGGCCCGCAACCGAGGUCUUCCACAUAUAGGAUUUGUGGAACAGCAGGGGCAGCACUACGACAGCUACUGUCUUGCUGCAGUGAUGCGGGCUGGAGCGAGCUGGGUUGCACGCGGUGACGAGAGCAUUGUAUAUGUCCGUUCCUCCACCUUCAACAUGUCGAUUGCAGGUGAGGACUUCUUCUUUUUUCCUUCUCCCUUUUUUCAUGCAAGUGUAGAACUUAUUGUACGAUUUAGUUUUUGCCUACAUAUAGAUGAUUCAGAUGUUAACGUUGAAGAAAAGAUCGACAUUGGUAUCCCCAGAAUAUUGCAGGAGGGCGUGUGUGCUCAUCUAAAAAAUAUGAUUACCUAAAUAGCUAAUAGUUAAUUCUACCUUUGUGAAUUUGCAGAAUGUUGAAUGCUAUUGGGUGGCAUUUCUCAUCAUGACAUUUAAUUAGAGGAUAUUUGUUAUCAAGCGACGUCAAUGUCUCGGGUAUAGAUAGUUCUGUUUUGAGGAAGAUGAUGUGCAACCACUGAAGAAAAUAUAUUAGGAUGGAACUCCAAUGAUUUUGUGGAUCACUAUGUAUAGUUUUUUGUGGCCUAUAAAGCAGAGGUCCGGCGUGUCAAAACAGAAGUUUCCAUGACUUGCUACUUUAUAAAAUUUAGGCGCCCCUAUAGUGUUGUUGAUGAAUUGAAUUUUUUCACCCAAAAAGGUUGAAAUCAACUGCUUUGCAUACACAAUUAAAUAGUGAGUAUCACGUUUUAUUAGCAAAAUUUAAUAGUUCAUACACAAUUAGGAAGUAGAAUUGUAAAGAUAAGGUCAGAGGCAUACCAACACAAUGCUCUGUUUAGUGAAGCUACAAAACCCACCAUCAUAACUGAUAAUUCCGUGCUGUACUGCUUGGUGAAUAUUUAUUCUGUUUCAGUGCUGACUAAUUGGCCCUUUGCUGAUCGAUAUGGUUCCCUUUGAAUGGCAUGAAGGAGGAAUAAGGGUUGCUUCUCACUCCCUUUUGGUCUGUUCUAGCGUGGAUGGAGGGUGACCCAGGCCUGUCCGACCAAAGGUGGCCGGUGAGCCUCUUGGUCUGUGCAGGUAAAAUUUCUCACUCCCUUUUAUCUUUUCGCGACUUCUUCUUUUGGGGCCUGCUGAAUUAGUUUGCUUGGUGCAAUUGAGAAAAUAAGAUGACCUGAUGAGGUGAGAAAAAAACAUGCAAUGGGGGCAUGCCGAAUUGGUGGAGUUGAAGCAUGUGUCCUGCUUACACCAUCUUAGGAACAUGGCAGAGGAAGGUGUUGAUUAAUUGGUAGGCAAAUUAAGCGUUUCAUGGGAAUCCUCGGUUAAUCUAACAUGAAGGAUGGAGCGUUUCUAUGGUUGUGAAGUUUUCUCGUAGCAAGUUGAAUGAAGAGCAUUUACGUCUAACAUAAAGCUUCAUAUAAUGGAUCAUGUUUGCCCUGUCCAGUUACUUAACUUCUAAUAACAUUGGGCCUGUAAGGAAGUGCUUAUCUUAUAAGUAAAUAUACUCGUGCUUGAUUUGCAUUGUUGAUUGACAAUAUGGUCUGUACUGAACCAUUAAAAAUACCUGGCUUCCUGACCUCAGACCCAAAAUAUGCUCUCUGUUGCUAUUGUUUUUCCCAAUUAAUUGUACAAUUACUCCUUUUAUUUAGUGAUGUAUUCCUCAUAUGCUUAACUAUCUCUUUUUUUGACAUUGAAGAUCAUUUAGAGUAAUUCAUUUUCGUACAUCCUGAAAUUCAGCGAAUGGACAUCAAAUAUAUUACAUUAGAUGAUGGGGGGAAACUGUAGUUGCAGUGCUUCACUUCUGCAACAAUGGACUCCCCGAAGUGCCAACACCUUUACAUGGAUAUUCAGGAUAUUUUUGAAGGUUAGAAUAUGAAAGUAGAACAACAAGUUCCAUUACUUUGGGAAAAGUGCCCGGCCCUGAAUGAUGCCUUAAUGCGACCUUUAAGUUUCAGGUACAUCAUUCUAUUCUUCUCUAUUGCGCCAUGUGCUCCACACGUGUACCUUAUGAUUCAGGAGUUUCCGGUGACAAAAUGUGUUAUAUUUGUAGAGUCGAUGCUUUAGGAGAUGGAAGAGCAGCUGCCCACGCAAUGGUUUCCAGUUAUAAACCAAGCUGUUUAAAAAUGAUCAAGUAAAGAAAGAAAUAUUUCAUGAUUGUACCUAUUUCCUUUGUGGGAUUUAAAGGGUUACUAGCUAGCUACAAUUGGACACUUCAUUUGUUUGCUUUUGAACUAAGUUUGAUAAGGCCUAUGAAGUCCUGUAAAAAGGAUUCUUAUGAUAAGCGUGGAAAGCAACUUCUGAACUUUUAUGUAGAUAUUUAAGUGCCAAUGCCAUAUUUUGUUAUAACACAGGAAACCCAACUUUUGAGGCCACCGAUUUACCUUGGAUGUUGCAUGUGAAUUACUUUAGCUAAUUGUCUUGCCGUCGAGCUUUUAGUUGAAGUUCACUGAAUUUCUUGUAAUGACAUUUCAGCUAUUAUACGAUCGACCCAAUUGUUAGCUUUAUGAUGCUUUUUGGAGUCGACUCUGUUAAACAUAUAAGGUUCAGGUUCAGCGCAUAGUGCAACAUUGUAACGUGGUAGAUCUCUUGGAGAUAUUCUGGUAGUUUGUUGGCCUAGGUAACUAGCUUAACCGUGGCUAACUCUAUCUCUCUCUUUCUUCUUCUCCAAGAUGUACUCUAUCUCCUGUAUGCGCUACAGGGAUCUGCGCCCCUGCCUAUAAACAUGAACCACGUUCCCUCGUACAGAGGUAAGACGUUUAUCGCAUCUUCACAUGGUAACCAGAGCCUCCUUCUUCCACAACAUCUAGCAUCCAUCAAACCCUAGCUCCAACCAUGUCGUCUUCCGCUGUCGCUCUUGUACCCACCAUCCAUGGUCAGGUAACAGAGAAGCUCACCAGGACGAACUAUGUCCUCUGGCGUGCUCAGAUCAUGCCCCAGCUCAUCGGCGCUGGCCUGUUUGGCUACGUCGACGGAUCCAUCAAGGAACCAGAGAAGUUCCUCGUCACCAAGGAUAAAGAUGGCAAGGAGGAAGCCGUCCCGAACCCUCUACACCAAGUCUGGGUAAGGGAAGAUUAGCAGGUACUUGGUCAUCUAUUGAUCAAUCUCUCUCGAGAAGUUCUUAUCCAGGUGACUUCGAUCCGCAAGGCGCAUGAGCUCUGGACUGCUGUGGCGAGCAUGUUCUCGUCCCAGUCCCGAUCUCGCAUCAACAACAUCAGGAUCGCCCUCUCCAAUGCGCAGAAGGGCACGCAAACGGUGGGCGCCUACUUCGCCCACAUCCGCUCCCUCGCCGACGAACUGGCGGCCGCUGGCAAGCCGCUAGAUGACGAUGAAGUCAUCUCCUACAUCCUGGCAGGGCUGGACAUGGAGUACCAGCCGCUGGUGUCGGCACUCGACGCCCGAAAAGAACCGAUCACGAUCGAUGAUCUGUUCGCUCAAGUAAGCAACCUCGACCAGCGCAUUGCUAUGUUCCAUGGUGCUGGCAACAACGCCGGGUUCAAGAGCUCCGCCAACGCCGCCAUUCGUGGUGGUCGUGGUGGCUCACGCGGCUACCGUGGCCCUCCGCGCAACAAGGGAAAGAACAGCGGCGGCGGCAGCAGCAACUCCAACAACAGCGCCUCUCGUGGGCGGCCCUCCUACACCAACAACAAGGGCCGUCACAACAACUCCAGGAGCCGCCCCGACGCUGUCAAGUGUCAAAUCUGCGGCAAGAUCGGUCACUCAGCAAGGGAAUGCUGGUACCGGUUUGAGGAGGAUGAAGGAGAAUCCUCGCAAGAUGAGAAGGUCGCUGGUGCUGCAGAAGCCUCAUAUGGGGUUGAUACAAACUGGUAUGUUGAUAGUGGCGCUACAAAUCACAUCACCGGUGAACUUGAAAAGGUGACUAUGCGGGAGAAGUACCGCGGCCAAGACCAGAUACAUACAGCAAGCGGAUCAGGUAUGAGGAUUAAACAUGUUGGUCAUUCAGUUUUUCAAACCCCUCACCGAAAGAUUCAUCUAAGAAAAAUCCUUCAUGUCCCUAGUGCAUCUAAAAAUCUACUCUUCGUUCAUCGUAUUGCCAUUGACAAUCAUGUCUUUCUCGAGUUUCACCCUUUUUUCUUUUUGAUCAAGGAUCAAGCAACGAGGAAGGUGCUCUACCGAGGUAGAUGUGUUCGCGGGCUUUACCCAUUGAUUCCGGAGUUUAGAAGAAUAAAUAAGCAAGCUUAUGGUGUCACCAAAAUCUCCUCGACAAGGUGGCAUGAUAGACUAGGGCAUGCAUCUUUUUCUUUAGUUGAACGAUUGCUUAGGAAGAAUAAGCUCCCAUAUGUUGGAGAGCAUAAUGUUGAAACAAUUUGUGAUUCUUGUCAAAAGGCUAAAAGCCAUCAAUUACCUUAUCCAAUUUCUACGAGUAUUUCUACCAAACCGUUGCAACUUAUUUUUUCUGAUGUUUGGGGUCCUGCUCCAAGUUUUGUUGGUAGGCAUACUUACUAUGUUAGCUUCAUUGAUGACUAUAGCAAGUAUUCUUGGAUCUAUUUACUCAAAAAAAGAUCCGAGGUCUUUCAAGUGUUUCACAACUUCCAAGCUCUCGUUGAACGAAAGUUUAAUAGCAAAAUCAUUGCCAUUCAAUCCGAUUGGGGAGGGGAAUAUGAAAAAUUAAACUCGUCCUUCCAAACUCUUGGCAUCUCUCACCAAGUUUCUUGUCCUCAUGCUCAUCAGCAGAAUGGAUCUGCCGAAAGAAAACAUAGGCACAUUGUUGAGGUUGGUCUAGCUCUCUUGGCUGGCGCAUCCAUGCCCCUCAAAUUUUGGGAUGAGGCUUUUCUUACCGUUGUUCAUAUCAUCAACAUGCUUCCUAGUCUUGUCAUCAAUCAUGAAACACCGAUAGAAAGGCUUCUUCGCAUCAAACCCGAUUAUACAUCACUUCGUGUUUUUGGGUGCGCAUGUUGGCCAAACCUUCGACCCUACAACAAUCGCAAACUUAUGUUUCGCUCGGAACAGUGUGUCUUCUUGGGCUAUAGCCCUCAACAUAAAGGAGUUAAGUGCCUUGAUGUCUCCACUGGACGAGUCUAUAUCUCUAGAGAUGUCGUGUUUGACGAGACAAAAUUUCCCUUUGCUGAUCUACAUCCAAACACCGGUGCUCUUCUUCGCCAAGAAAUUCUCAUUUUGCCAUCACAUCUAGUAGGUGCCUCUGGGGAAGAUAACUGUAAUGAUCACAUGCCAACUAAUCCUCAUAACAGUUUGCUUGAGCUAUGUGAUGAUGCAGGACAAAACAGUGAAGCCAAUGGUGCUCACGGUGAUGAAAAUGGUGAAGAAACGGCUCCAAACGAGCCAUAUUUCAUGUGCAGGCCCUCGGGAGACAUAUCUCCUUCGGGAUCCGGGCCGCACCAGUCCUGCAGGCAAUCUCCUUCGGGAUUGACGCCCUCUGCACCUGCGCCUGACAACGACACGUCCGGCAGCGCCCGGGUCGCCCGCCCUGACUCGGCGGUGCGCCACGCCUCCGACCAAUCCGCGGGCGCUGAUGGCCCGCGCCAAUCUCCGGGCCCCACGCGGCAGCUGACGAGCCGCUUCCCCGAUCCGCCCACGUGCUACGCGCGGCGCCCGCGUCGGCCGUCCGGCUCGGGGCCCCAUGUGGUGGACCACCCGACAGGCGCUGGAUCUCGCAUGGAUCCUGAUGACGCUCCUGGUGGGAGCGAAUCUCCUGCUGCGGGCGGAUCCUCUGUGGCGGAUGGCGCCCCUUCAUCACCCGCUGAAGCCGCAGAAAAUCCUGCCUCUUCGUCAGAUCCCAGAAUAUCUGCCUCGGGAUCACCGGGGGAUACUGAUGUGGAUUUUUCUGCUGCAGACCCCGGAUCUUCUGUGCAGCAAACUGCUGCUGCUUCACCAUCCAUGCCACGCACACGUCUACAAAAAGGGGUAUUGCAACCUGUCAAUUAUAAAAAGGUACUUAAGUUUGGCUUAGCUUGCUCUACAGGUGAACCACAAACGCUUGAUGAGGCAUUAGGUGACACAAAGUGGAAGCAAGCUAUGGAAGAAGAGUACAGAGCACUCCAGAAAAACAAGACAUGGCAUCUAGUUCCUUCACGGCAAGGUCAAAAUCUCAUUGAUUGCAAGUGGGUAUUCAGAAUAAAAAGGAAGUCUGAUGGAACUAUUGAUCGAUAUAAGGCUAGACUUGUUGCCAAAGGAUUUAAGCAACGGUAUGGCAUAGACUAUGAGGACACCUUUAGUCCCGUUGUUAAAGCUGCCACCAUUCGUCUUGUUUUGUCUAUUGCUGUUUCCAGGGGAUGGAGUCUUAGACAGCUAGAUGUUCAGAACGCGUUCCUUCAUGGUGUUCUGGAAGAGGAAGUGUAUAUGAAGCAACCUCCUGGGUUUGAGAACAAAAACACACCUUUCCAUGUCUACAAGUUGGAUAAAGCUUUGUAUGGCCUUAAACAAACUCCUAGGGCAUGGUACUCCCAUCUCAGUCAAAAAUUACAAGCACUUGGUUUUGUUCCUUCCAAGUCUGACACAUCACUGUUCAUUUACAAUAAGUGCAACACAUCUAUCUUUGUGCUCAUUUAUGUUGACGAUAUUAUUGUUACAAGCUCAUCAAAUGAAGCAGUGACAGGACUGUUGAAAGAUCUUAGUGCUGAAUUUGCACUGAAGAAUCUAGGAGACUUGCAUUUUUUCCUAGGUAUUGAGGUAAGGAAACAAGGAAGUGAACUUCACCUAUCUCAGGAAAAAUAUGCUACUGAUCUUGUAAGAAGAGCUGGGCUACAGGGAUGCAAGCCAUCACCAACACCAAUGUCAAGUUCUGAAAAAAAUUCUCUUACAGAGGGAGAACUCCUGAAUCAGGAAGAUAGUACCAAGUACAGAAGCUUAGUUGGUGCACUCCAGUACUUGACUCUUACAAGACCAGAUAUUUCUUUUGCUGUGGACAAAGUUUGUCAGUUUCUUCAUGCUCCCACUACAGUUCAUUGGACUGCUGCAAAACGGAUAGUAAGAUAUGUCAAAGACACUGUUAAUGUUGGUCUUACGUUCUCCAAGUCUACUUCAACUCUUGUCAGUGCAUUCUCUGAUUCUGACUGGGCAGGAGAUAUUGAUGAUAGGCGCUCUACUGGUGGUUUUGCAGUAUUCUUUGGACCUAACCUUAUAUCUUGGUGUGCAAAGAAACAGGCUACAGUCUCAAGAUCAAGUACAGAAGCAGAAUACAAGGCUUUGGCUAAUGCAACAGCAGAAAUUACCUGGGUUCAGUCCAUGCUCAGAGAACUUGGAAUAAAACAUACUCAAGCUCCAUGUCUUUGGUGUGACAAUCUUGGUGCCACUUAUUUGUCUGCAAAUCAUGUGUUUCAUGCAAGAACAAAACAUAUUGAGAUUGACUUCCACUUUGUUCGAGAAAGGGUUGCUAGCAGGAAGCUUGAGAUCCGGUUUGUACAUUCCAGAGAUCAAGUUGCAGAUGGCUUCACCAAGGCAUUGCCUACAAGGAAUUUUGAAUUAUUCAAACGUAAUCUCAACUUAACAAAGUUGUGAUUAUGGGAGGGUGUUAAACAUAUAAGGUUCAGGUUCAGCGCAUAGUGCAACAUUGUAACGUGGUAGAUCUCUUGGAGAUAUUCUGGUAGUUUGUUGGCCUAGGUAACUAGCUUAACCGUGGCUAACUCUAUCUCUCUCUUUCUUCUUCUCCAAGAUGUACUCUAUCUCCUGUAUGCGCUACAGGGAUCUGCGCCCCUGCCUAUAAACAUGAACCACGUCCCCUCGUACAGAGGUAAGACGUUUAUCGCAUCUUCACAGACUCAUGAAGAUGAUGGCUAGCCUGCACGAACAUUUGUGGCUUCUGCAUAGAUGAUUCAGAUAGUCUACAAGAAAGGUAAAUAAUUAUAGGGGAUAGAUGUACGUUGCUCCCACAAUAUCCAGUUAUUGUCAGCAAACUUGCUUGUGGGCCAUGCCGACGAUGACAGGUGUAUGAAAAUGCAGCUCACCGACGGCGAUUGGAGCACCAACUUGGGUGACCCAGCUGUUUGACGCCGCCGGCUCGACCUACUUCGCUAGCAGCAUCGAGGAGGACGUGGAGCUCGUAGCCUCUUGAGCCCUCCGCGGGGCUCGUCUCGUCAGGCCGCCAUGGUUGCAGUAUAAAAAUCCUUACUGCCAUAUACAUGUCCCUUUUUUCCUCCCCGUCGCUUCCGCGGAUGAAAACCACAACAAACUCCUGCAAACACGCGAACAAUCGGCCAUGGCUUCCGCCCUCCGAGCCCCGCGAAGUCAUGUACAAUCUUACCGGCUGGCAUCAUCUACAAUCUUACCGGCUGGGAUCAUAUAGUUAUCAGAGUGUCACUUUUUGAUUUGGUACUGUCAUGUUUUUCAGCAGCCAUUAUAUAAUUAGCUGCUCAUCUUCCCACGUGCUGUUAUAGCCCUCCACAUAUCUGAAGGCAAAGAUGGUCCAUGAGUGUCCAUGUGAUGAAGAUCUUCAUGGCUAUUUCAAAAUAGACCUGAUGUUAGGUGAAAAUAUUCAUCGAUGGUUCAAUGAAGAUGCAUCAAAUUUCAAAAUAGAAUGCUAAUAAAUUACACCCUAGAGCAAUAUGAGAGUAUUUAAAUUUGGAUGGACCUAAACCUAUCCAGCACAGUACACAAGCUCUUUUAAAAUAUCGACAUUUAUCCGGUUUGCAUUUUUUUGUACUGGAGUUAAACCUAUCCAGCAUGUUCGUGAACCUAAAGUCGGCUUCAGUAUAUAUCAAUUGGAAGUCGGCUUAUGAGGCUUCAGUAUAUAUCAAUUGGAAGCCGGUUUCUGUGGCUCUGCCUGUAUGUUUACAUUUUGCAAACGCAGUUUAUGCCUGAUAUUUGUGUCUCUUUAUUUAUGCAGAACUAUUCUAGAGCUCAAGGCAUCAGGUACACUUUAGAUACAAACUCUCGCGCUCAACGGAGUUUCCAUGUAGUGUUAAAUUCCGGUGAACUAUAUCUCACCCCAUGCAUGCUGCCUACUCCUUUGUUGCAAACACAAAGCUGCAUGAGACCAGAUCGAUUAGGUAUACUUUGUUACUGACUGAUUGGUUCAUGGAUUAAGCAUGGACUGUAGGAAAUUAGGAGUUGUACAAGGAGGAAAGGAGAAGAGAAGAGAAGAGAAGAAAGAGGACUUAUUUCAUUGGAUUCGCGGCUGUUUGAUUCCUGUUUGCUGCAAGGAUAGAUCUCCGUUGACCACAUAUUCAGUAGUAGAUCAAAAGCUUAUUUUAAAUUCUAGGAAUAAUUGGGUUCAUAAUUUGGUUGUGGCACCCACAUGAAAGCUGUAGAGUCCAUCGAUAUCUUUCCAAGGAUACUAAGUUUCUGCAAUUCAGAAUAAUGAUUGUCAAGAUAUCACCAAAACAUAUUUCUAUGUUCGAGGAUUUUUAAUACUAGAAGAUUUUCUGUUUUACAAGAAUUACUCUACUUACAGGAAGAACCAGUUUUUGGCCGCCACAUGAACUUACAAAUGAUCUCCUUCUGAUAUUCAUACUAUUCUCAUUUGCUUGAUUUUGUGAAGUGCAUUAAGAUUUAUAGUAUAGACCAGAUAUGUUCAGAAUGGUUUCAAUGUUAAGUGAAAGAUAGGAACACAUGAUUUCAGUAUCUUGAUGAGGGCCAGAUUUAACUUGCUGAUGAAUAACAGAAGUUAUAUUGCUGGGACAUGUUUUUGGCCUCACAUUACUUAACUCUGCAGCUGGUUUGUAGAGCUGCAUCUUCUCUUAUUCUUUUUGGUUCUUCGGAUGAGCGACGCUGCCUGUGGGUCGUGGACAAAGCGGCUGCUACUUCCAGGUUUGAUUUUUUGCUGAUCAGUUCCUGGUGAUGGGAUUAUGGUUUUUUGUGUGACUUCUCCUGAAGAGAUUUUUGUUUUUGGUUUUGGUUUUGAUGGUGAAUUUAGGAUAACAGGGACAAUGAUGUUGCCAUACCGGCAGGUGCUGGACAUGAUUCUCAAAGAAGAUACGGAUGUGCAUGCUUCACAUCUUCUACACGCUUAUGCAAAGUGGGAUUUUAUUCAUAUUUUGAUGAGCUUAAUUUCUUAUGCUACUGAUUGCUUCUGCCUGAAGGAUACAUAUGGUAUGUUUUGUGAGCGGUGGGUAUGGAUGAGGUGAGAGCGUCUGUUAGUGAGUCAUUUUUGUUGGAUACUUUAAUCUGUUAGGGUUGAUAUAUAUUUUGAUUGGCGUGGUUGCCUCAAAGUAAUGCCCUGCUACUCCUUGGGGGACGUGAGCGAAGAUUUAUGCCUUAAGCAUAGGAAUGAGGGAGUAGGUUCCAAUAGAAUAGGCGAUGAUGCUAGGAGAGGCACAUCGAGGAACAAGUACAUGGUGCUACUCGAUGGUCAGCCACAUUCUGACUAUUAUUUUGGCAUGCCAAAGAGAUAGCACAUGAUGUUCUACUGCUGGGGAAUUGAAGUAUAGUGCUUAACAAUAUACUGGCAUGUAUUUUUUUUUAAGUAUAUAGUGGUUUCCUUUAGUUGAAAUACAGAAAAAAUUUCACCCCCAAUGAUUCAACAAGAGUUGUUCAUUAAAAGCGUGUGGUUUCUUUCUUCAUCAAGAAUUGAAAUAAUAUGUACUAUUAGAACUCCAUGGAGAGCAAUAAUAUAAUUGUCACAUGGGGUGAUCUUUAUUGGCUAAUUGUAUAGCUUAUGAUCUUAUGGAGUUUAGGUUUGUAAAUCCACGUAUUUUUUAGAUGAAGAAACAAAGAAGGAAAUGACUAUAUCAAGGAUCACAUAUGGUUAAAUGUAGAGACAACGAACACGGUGGCAUAUUACUUGCAACAUGGUGAAACUUUUAGGAUAGAAGGGUAAACGAAUUGCUCGGUCGCUUCAAGAGUUAAUAAUGGACAUGGUGGCACAUGUAUACUUCGCGGUAAUGCAUGAUAUUCGACUGUAUGUUACAACAUGGCAAUGACUCAGGAUAUAUCGGAUCUGCCUUGAUGGCGGUGGCGGAUCAGCACGAACACAAGGGGUGGGGAUCAGGGCGGAGAGUGGGUGAUUGGCGGGGGACUCCUCCUUGGUGGUCUGUGGGGAUAUACAAUGUGAAGGUGGGAGGGCGCCAUGGCGAGGUGAGGUGGGCGUCAUCUGGUUUUAAAGAAGAGGGCUCCAGCGAGAAAUGUCCGGCUACGGUGGGAAACCGAGCGGGAAGGGGUGGGUUCAACAGAAAAAGGGAAUGGUGCGUCGUGGGUUGAGUUUUUGUGUUAGGACCGUGUGUUGAAGAUAAAAUGACGGAUAGUCCGGAGAAGCAUAUUUCUCCUCCGCAUAUGGUAUGGAUUUGAAGAAGUUCAGAUUGUCCAGAUGGUUAAAUUUUGGGGUGCAUUCUGGGUGCCCGUUUGAUGUUCUAACACGCCCAAAUAUAUGAGGAAGAAAUGAACUCCGACCUUCGAUCUGUUUGAUUCAUUUAUAUAUAUGCCUUGUAGCCCGUAGCAAUGCACGUGUAUUGUACUAGUCUCGAUAGUGGUUGGGUUGGUCGGAUUGGUGGCGAGGACCCAACUAAAUCUUUUUUUCCUCCGCGUCUGCCUCUAUCUUUGGGUUGAGCCUGCCUCUUCAUUUGGUGGCUGCACGGCAAUCUUCGGGACACGGUUGCUUCGACCGCUCUAUCCUACGACGGCGUAACCAUGUGCUCCCCUCCUGUCAUGAGUCGAUGGGGGAGUCGACCGCGCCAAGACGGGCAGGGUUGUCGACGCAGGCGAGGGCGAGGGCGGGGUCGAGGGGCUCCAUGACCUCCUCAACGCGGCUGACGCCGGCGUCGAUGCGCGAGCAGCGCUUGAGCGUGAGGACGGCGCGGGAGGGGCGCGGCGUCGGUGCUGUAGAGGCGGACCCUCUGGGCAGCGGUGGUGGCGGCGAGGGGCCGCGCGGGGGCGUCGGUGCGGAGCAGGCGGGGCGCGAGGAAGGAGGAGAGGCGCCGGUGUGCGGCUGCGUCGGGGAGCCGGAGCUUGAUCUCGACCUCCAUGGGGUUGGGGUUGCGGCUAGGGCUGGGGGGCGGGGGCUGGAAGGGGCGGGCGGCGGCGUCUACUCUGGGAGUUUUAGGGAUCGAGAGGAGCGGAUGAAAAAACCUAUGAAAAAACCCAGUGCACUAGUAGGAAAUGGGGCUUUUACCCCGGUUUGUAAGGGCCUUUUGUCCCGGUUUUCGAACCGGGACUAAAGGGUCGUUACUAAAUCCCUAACCCUUUAGUCCCGGUUCUUACACGAACCGGGACAGAAGGUCCUCCACGUGGCCGCUACUGCCAGCCCAGGCAGGGGGGCCUUUGGUCCCAGUUGGUGCCAACAACCGGGACUAAUAGGCAGUGCCUUUUGUCCCGGUUGGUGUCACCAACCGGGACCAAUAGGCAUCCACGCGUCAGCAUUUCAGGGGCUGGGGUUUUUGUUUUUUUUGAAGGGGGGGGGUUUGGGGGUUAAUUUAGGUGUUUCAUAUAUUGUGUUAGCUAGCUAAUUAAUAGAGAGAAGUGUCCUCUCUUAUCUCCGUGCUUGGUCGACGCUACGUACUAUAUACGUAUGGAGAGGUCUAGACACGCUAGCUAGUAAGCAAAUGAAGGAAACAGAAGAUCGUCAUGAACAUAUGCAUGCAGAGAGAAGUGAUAUCGACCACCUCUCCUUCUCCGAGAGAUUGGUCGAACAACAAGUUCUCGUAUAUCUAUCUGACACUAUCAGCUACAUAUAUACAAUAAUUAUCUCUUACAAUAUAAUCUCCUAAUUAAAUUGUAAGAACACAGGGUCCACAUAGUAUUCUCCGUUUUCAGCGAUCACGUGGUCAAGGAAGAAUGCCGCCAAUUCCUCUUGAAUUGCUCGCAUACGAUCUUCUGCUAGGAGUUCAUCCCGCAUCCGAAACAUCUAAUUUGAAGAAGGGGGUCAAUACAUAUAUAUAUAUAUAUAUAUAUAUAUAUAUGAAUAAAUAAAACUCGACACAAAUGAUGGUAAUAAAAUAAAAUUGUGAAUAUUAUUGCUUACGCACUUCAUAUUGUUCGUCAGAGUAGCCCCGUUCACAGGUCCUGUGGCGGAUAGACUCGCAAACAUAGUAUCCACAGAAAUCAUUCCCUUGUUCCUGCCACAACCACUUUACAAGAAAUAGAGGUCAAUCUAACUGAUAAGCAAGCAUGCUAAAUGGUAUUGAUGAAACUAGCGCUUGAAUCACUAGGAGAUGUGCGGAACAUGCUACUAUAGUACUUACUUUCGGGUGUCUAAAUUGCAGCUUCUUCGGCAGUCCCGGAGCUUUUGUGGUGAAUUUUCUCCAAACCCUGCCAGACAAAGAAAACAAUUACUUGAUAUCAGGAAAUGAACAAAGUUGCUGAUAUGGUGGAUAAUGAUCGAUUUAACUUACUUCUCGAGCAUUUGAGUCAUGUCCGCAUAUUCCUGGGGAUCUUUUUGUCUCGAGUCUAAGACGGUUACUACUCCCUGCUCAAGCUUAAUCUCUAGGAGAAUAUAGUGGAAGCUGCGCAUGCAUGCAUAAGUCAUCAAUUACAUUACCAUAACCUGGACUAAUAAGGGAAACCGAAUAUGCACAAGACAGUAACACUCACUUGAAGUUAUAAGGAAAGAGUAUUAUAUCUUUGUUUUGAUUUAAUACCAACGAUCGUAGCAAGUUGGCCUCGGCUUCUUUGGCAUGUUUUUCAACCAUAUAUGCAUCUAUGAGAUUUGUGUUAAUGAACCCAAUAUCACCGAUUUGUCUUUUCUUCAAUUCGGCGAUCUUCAAUCUGCAUAAUAUAGUGAGGAUAAUUAUAAACACAUGCAAUGAAAGAGCUGACCUAUAUAGAGAGACUUAAUGACAGAAGUAGUACUACUUAUAGACAGUAGCAAGUGAUCGUUGAUUUAUCAAGGGCCUUUUGAUUGAAAAACUGGAAGAACUCCUCAAAUGGAACAUUCAGCAGUUCAAUUCCAACGAGGUCAUGCUCCGGUUUAACUCUCAGCGUCAAAGUAUUCAUCCCAUCAGACUCUCUGCAGGUUUUCAUGUACCAAUCAUGUAAUCUUCGCAUCAUCAUUGUUAGAGAUCUUUCAUCUUUGACGAGAGGCUUCCCGUAAUGGUAUUUGUGUUCGUCCACCUCCAUGAUUUCAUAAUGUACAUCGUCGGGCAGGUAAUCUCCAAGAUUGCUAUAACCGGGCACCAUCCUCGGAUCAUUAGCGACGAUGUCACUAGACUCCUUGAGCGGGGGGCACGAUUGGUUCGCUUGUUCGCCGAGCUGGGCAAUUUUUUUCCCAGCUCGUCGUUCUUUUAACCUUUUAUCACUGACAGUACUUUCCGACCGCUCCGCUUCGGCAUAUGUCUUUGCAAGAAUGCGCUCAUAGUUGCCUCUCGGCGGAGACUUUGGUGGUUUUGUCAGGGCAGCCAGAGUGCGCUUUGCUGUCACCGGAUCUACCUUCUCCUCCGGAGGUGGAUGUUUCUUUACUUUCACCCCUUCAAAGAAGUUCUUCACUUCGGCUUGCACGAUCUUCCUGGUUUCCUCCUCGGUCCUCUCGUAUGGUAACUUCUCUGGAGUCUUCAGAGAAGGACCGAAUCUGUAUUGCCUCCCGCGUCUGGCAGCUGUAUUGCUAGACGCCGGCAGAGCAGACGGAGCGGCUGCGGCUGUCUUCUUUCCUUGCUUACAAGGCAGAGGAGAAGGACUAUGACGCGCCAGAGCAGCCGGAGCGGCGGUGGGUCUCUUCCGCCCUUGCUGACGAGGCGGAGAAGGAGGAGGCUGGCUGCUCUGGCACGCCGGCGCAGGCGGAGAAGGAGGCAGAGUGUCGCCACGCGCCGGAGAAGGAGGCUGAUGAGUGCCCUGAUCACUCGCCGGAGGAGGAGGCGGAGGAGGAGGCGGAGUGCCGCCACGCGCCGGAGAAGGAGGCUGAGUGCCCUGAUCACUCACCGGAGGAGGAGGCGGCGGCAGAGUGCCCUUACUCGCCGGAGGCGUCCAGUUCGGAAGGUUAAUGAGCUCCUUCCGCCAUAGGCACGGAGUCUUCAGAGCUAAACCCAGCCGAGUCUCCCCUUCACCGGUAGGGUGGUCAAGCUAGAGGUCCUCAAAUCCCUCCGUUAUUUCAUCCACCAUCACCCUAGCAUAUCCUUCUGGAAUCAGCCGGCAGUGGUAGGUUGCGCCGGGUUCAGGAGGUAAAACAGAGCCAACAGCCACCUUGACUUUGAAGUUCUGCCAUUGCUCCAUAAGGUGGCAAUGUAGAGACUCCGUGAUAGCAUCCACGGGGUAGAUAGCAGGAGCUGUCAAGACAUGCUCCGGCUGAAGCAGCUCGGUGGAAGCCACGCUGCUUCUCCGCUGAGAUGGCGGGGUAGCUUCGGGGGUAGUUUCGGCAUGUCGAUUGUCGUCUCGUUCCUCUAGCGCUUGAACCCUUUCGUGCAGCUUCUGAAUUUGGGUCUGCUCCAUUUUUUUCCUCCUCUCCUGGCUUUUGUAACCGCCUGCGUCCGGAAAACCAGCCUUCCACGGAACGGAGCCUGGCGUGCCUCGUGUCCGUCCAGGGUGCUCAGGAUUCCCGAGGGCCAUUGUGAGCUCGUCGUUCUCUCUGUCUGGAACGAAUGUCCCUUCCUGCGCUGCAUCGAUAUAUUGCUGAAUCUUCUUGACUGGUAUUCUCAAAAGCUCGUUCGUCCAAACGCACCUCCCUGAUACAGGGUCCAAGGUUCCGCCAGCCUCGAAGAACCAAGUCCGGCAACGGUCUGUCCAGUUCAUUGUCUGUGGUUCGAUCCCUUUUUCAAGCAGAUCAUUCUCAACCUUGGCCCACUUAGGUCGGGCUUUGAAGUAGCCACCUGACCCCGUGCGAUGGUGAAGCUUCUUCUUCGCAGCAUUCUUCUUGUUUGUCGCUGACAUCUUCUUACUCUUUUCCGAUGUCUUGUGGGCCACAAAUGCGGGCCAGUGAUCUCUGAUCUUCUCAUACCGGCCGAUGAAUUCUGGUGUCUCUUCUUUGUCGACAAACAUUUUCAGCUCAUUCUUCCACUUCCUGAAUAGGUCUGCCAUCUUCUUAAGAGCAUGAGACUUGAUUAAUUGCUCUUUACUAGCUUCUCCGGAUCCUCCUCUGGCGGUAGGGUGAAAUUUGCCUUCAGCUCAGUCCAAAGAUCAUCUUUCUGCAUAUCAUUGACAUAAGACACCUCAGGGUCUUCCUUCUUAGGCUUAUACCAUUGCUGGAUGCUGAUCGGGAUCUUGUCCCUAACUAGAACCCCGCACUGAGCAGCAAAUGCAUCCUUUGUCCGGAUGGGUUCAAUCGGUUGGCCGUCGCGCGCGAUUGCUGUGAUCUCAAACCUUUCAUCCGAGCGCAACUUUCUCUUCGGGCCUCGUCUCUUUACCGCAAUUGUGCUCGAUCCGGAGCGCUAGAAAAAAGAAGAAAGACGAGUGUUAAUUAAUAUGUGUACAUACCAAAACAAUGAAUGCAUCAAUUAGCUAGUCAGCACAAGCUUAACUAAUAUAUUUACCUGGCCGGACUCUGUUCGGUCACUGGAGCCGUCACCACGGGCUCCUUCUUGCACCAGCAUUGGGUCACCGGAGCCAUCAUAAUCAUGUCUUUCCUCCUCCACUCUUCGAUCACCGUAGCCUGCUUCUUCACCCUGUUCUUUCAGACCAUCAUUGUCGUUAAGAUACGACAAGAUAUCACCUCCGGCUAAGAUUAUGUCCCCCAACACCUCUUCUGCUUGCUCGUCUCGUCCGUGCUCCAUUGUUUCUGCAAAUAUUACAACAUGGCAAUUAUUACACAAACAUGACAGCAGGUGGAUAUAUUAGUGCAAACGUAGACCUAGCUUAUUCCGGGUUUGGGGUGGCCUCGGCAACGCUUCAAGGGUAGGGGCGCGACGGGAGGGGGUAGGAGACCGACAUCGUUUUUUUCUAGGGUUUGGGUGUCCUUGAGAGUUUUGGUCGAGCAAGAGGGCCGGGGGGUGCUCCCGUGGUAUAUGUUAUCACGGUCGAGAGGGGGUAUAAAUAUCGACCGUCCAUCAUGUCGAAGUUAUCUGAGAGGGAGUUAUAUAUAUCGACAACGACGACAUACAUACAUGGGAAAAUAAUGUUAUCCGGGAGGGGGUAUAUCGACCCCUCCCCACGUGUUGAAGUUAUCAGGAGGGGGUUAUAUCGACAACGACGACAUACGUACAUGGGAAAAUAAUAUUAUCGGGGAGGGGGUAUAUCGACCCCCCCUCGUGUUGAAGUUAUCGGGAGAGGGGUAUAUCGACGACGACAGACCCGAUAAAACAUAAGAAAACGAAGAAGAAAUAAAAAGAGGAGAAGAAGAAAAGGAAUAGAGGAGAAGAUCGAAGAAAANNNNNNNNNNNNNNNNNNNNNNNNNNNNNNNNNNNNNNNNNNNNNNNNNNNNNNNNNNNNNNNNNNNNNNNNNNNNNNNNNNNNNNNNNNNNNNNNNNNNNNNNNNNNNNNNNNNNNNNNNNNNNNNNNNNNNNNNNNNNNNNNNNNNNNNNNNNNNNNNNNNNNNNNNNNNNNNNNNNNNNNNNNNNNNNNNNNNNNNNNNNNNNNNNNNNNNNNNNNNNNNNNNNNNNNNNNNNNNNNNNNNNNNNNNNNNNNNNNNNNNNNNNNNNNNNNNNNNNNNNNNNNNNNNNNNNNNNNNNNNNNNNNNNNNNNNNNNNNNNNNNNNNNNNNNNNNNNNNNNNNNNNNNNNNNNNNNNNNNNNNNNNNNNNNNNNNNNNNNNNNNNNNNNNNNNNNNNNNNNNNNNNNNNNNNNNNNNNNNNNNNNNNNNNNNNNNNNNNNNNNNNNNNNNNNNNNNNNNNNNNNNNNNNNNNNNNNNNNNNNNNNNNNNNNNNNNGCGUCGUCGGGGCAAACUGCAGAUGAACUCUGAAAAAUUUCCUAAGUGUUUGCUUAUAUAGCAAAGCCUUUAGUCCCGGUUCGUGGCACCAACCGGGCCUAAAGGUAGGCAUUAGUCCCGGUUGGUGCCACCAACCGGGACCAAAGCCCUCUUUUCAGCAGCCCAAAGGGCGGGAAGCGGCGGCCUUUGGUCCCGGUUGGUGGAACCAACCGGGACUAAAGGGGGGGCAUUGGUCCCGGUUGGUGCCACGAACCGGUACGAAUGCACCCCUUUAGUCCCGGUUGGUGGCACCAACCGGGACCAAGGCCUCUUGCUGCCCGCGUCGCGGCCAAAAGUUUAGUCCCACCUUGCUAGCCGAGGGGCGCCCGCACCAGUUUAAAAGCCGCGGCGCGGCUGCUGUCUCGAACUCCUCUCUAUAGCAGGAUUCUGGGCCUAACUUUGGCGCGCUGCCCGUUGAGCCUUCUAGCCCUUCUGGUCCUGUAUUUGCAAACCUGAGGGUUGGAAGGCCCAGCGGGCAGCGCCCCAACAAUUUUUUUUGCUGUAUUUAGUUUUUCUGUUUUCUUUUUUUUCUUUAUUUAUUUUGUUUUGUUUCUACUUACGACAAAAAACUUAUUUAUUUUAUUUUGUUUCUAAUUACUUAUUUNNNNNNNNNNNNNNNNNNNNNNNNNNNNNNNNNNNNNNNNNNNNNNNNNNNNNNNNNNNNNNNNNNNNNNNNNNNNNNNNNNNNNNNNNNNNNNNNNNNNNNNNNNNNNNNNNNNNNNNNNNNNNNNNNNNNNNNNNNNNNNNNNNNNNNNNNNNNNNNNNNNNNNNNNNNNNNNNNNNNNNNNNUUGUUUUCUUUUUGCUUUAUUUAUUUUGUUUUGUUUCUACUUACAACAAAAAACUUAUUUAUUUUAUUUUGUUUCUAAUUACUUAUUUAUUUUACUUUAUGAUAAUUCUUUUUGCUAUUAAAGUUUCUAUCAAAAAAGUUCUUUAUGAAAAUUCUUUUUGCUUUUAAUGAUUUUGAACAGAAAAUACUUCGAUAAUUUUAGUUGCAUCAAUUUUAUAUGAUUUUAGUUUCAAUAAUACUAGAGGUUUCUUAUANNNNNNNNNNNNNNNNNNNNNNNNNNNNNNNNNNNNNNNNNNNNNNNNNNNNNNNNNNNNNNNNNNNNNNNNNNNNNNNNNNNNNNNNNNNNNNNNNNNNNNNNNNNNNNNNNNNNNNNNNNNNNNNNNNNNNNNNNNNNNNNNNNNNNNNNNNNNNNNNNNNNNNNNNNNNNNNNNNNNNNNNNNNNNNNNNNNNNNNNNNNNNNNNNNNNNNNNNNGUUUCUAAUUACUUAUUUAUUUUACUUUAUGAUAAUUCUUUUUGCUAUUAAAGUUUCUAUCAAAAAAAGUUCUUUAUGAUAAUUCUUUUUUCUAUUAAAGUUUAUUUUAUUUUGUCGUAACACAAGAAGUCCGGAGUUGUAAUAAGUUAUUAAAAAUGGAAAAGAGGCGCAAUGCUCGUUGAUUAGCUUCAAGCCUUUCGGAAUAGUGUAGACUGCACUGCACAUAGCUCCAUGUAGUCUACCUUAUUCCUCAAGGCUUGAAGCUAAGCUACGUGAAGGUGAGCAUUGCGCCUCUUCUUCAUCGUCUCUGCACUCAGGGCUUAUAAACCGCUCCUAGUGCCUCUCAGCUAGCGAGGUGGGACUAAAAAACUGCUUAGUAAGAAACUCUAGUACCGGUUCGUGCCACGAACCGGUACUAAAGGUGCUCGUGGGGCCACAGCCUCAUUACUACCGGUUCGUGGCAGCAACCAGGACCAAAGGGUGGAAUCGGUCCCGGUUCGUGCCACCAACCGGGACCAAUGGCCUUGCACAGCGGCGUGGUGGUGGGAGUUUAGUCCCACCUCGCUAGCUGAGAGAGAGCCGCACCUUUUUAUAAGGUGCGGUGCGCCUGAGCUGUCGAGCUCCUCUCUAAAGCAGGCUUACGGGCCUAACCUCUCUGUACAUGCCUGUGGGCCUACUGGGCCUUCUGCGGGCCUGAAUCCUGGCCCAUGGAUGGGUUUCUAAUCGUAUUCAGGCCAUGGUGGCCCAGUAGGUGGCAUAAUUUUUAAUUUUUGGCCUGUUAUUUUUCAUGCAUUUAGUAAUUAUUUUGAGCUAUAAGACCCUAAAAUUGAAAAGCAUUUCAAAUGAACUCUAAAAAGGUUGAAAUUUGGCAUGGUAUCAUCAUUUCAUCCACAUAGCAUGUGCAAGAAAAUUGAGAGGGUUACGGCAAAAACUAGAUGCACUUCGUGUACAAAACGGACAAUGGUAUCAUACUCGUCUGUUACAAAGUUGGCAUGGUAUCAUCAUAAUAGUUGCGGGAGAAAGUCUUCACUUUUUCUUCGCUUGUGUCAUUUGCAUCAUUGGGCACAUCGUCUGGUUCCUCUUGAUCUUCAGCAGCUUCCCCCGUUGCAGCAUCACCGUAUUCAGGGGGCACAUAGUUGCCAUCGUCCUCUUCUUCUUCGCCGUCUUCCAUCAUAACCCCUAUUUCUCCGUGCCUCGUCCAAACAUUAUAGUGUGGCAUGAAACCCUUGUAAAGCAGGUGGGUGUGAAGGAUUUUCCGGUCAGAAUAAGACUUCGUAUUCCCACAUAUAGGGCAUGGACAACACAUAAAACCAUUCUGCUUGUUUGCCUCAGCCACUUCGAGAAAAUCAUGCACGACCUUAAUGUACUCGGAGGUGUGUCUGUCACCGUACAUCCAUUGCCGGUUCAUCUGCGUGCAUUAUAUAUAAUUAAGUGUGUCAAAAACCAUUACAGAACAUCAUGAAUAGAUAAUUAAGUGACCAAAUUAAUAGAAGUUCAUCAUCACAUUAAAACCAAAGUACAUACAUAGUUCUCAUCUAACAACAUAUAUAUAGCUCUCCAGAGCAUCUAAUUAAUUAAACCAUACAUUGAAACUAUGUAAAACAUUUCAAUGCGAAAACAAAUGCGAUCAUAAUCGCAACCAAGGUAACAAUUGAUCCAACGGCAUAAUGAUACCAAGCCUCGGUAUGAAUGGCAUAUUUUCUAAUCUUUCUAAUCUUCAAGCGCAUUGCAUCCAUCUUGAUCUUGUGAUCAUCGACGACAUCCGCAACAUGCAACUCCAAUAUCAUCUUCUCCUCCUCAAUUUUUUUUAUUUUUUCCUUCAAGUAAUUGUUUUCUUCUUCAACUAAAUUUAACCUCUCGAUAAUAGGGUCGGUUAGAAUUUCCGGUUCAACCACCUCCUAGAUAAAUAAAAUCUAUGUCACGUUGGUCGGCAUAUUUGUCAUAAACAAUAAAUGAACCAAAUAGUUAUAAAAAGAUAAUAUAUACCACAUCCGACUCAUAGACAGGACGAGGGCCGACGGGGGCGGAUACCAAAACCAUCGCACUAUGUAAUAAGAAGGAAUAAUAAAAGUAAAAAAAUUAGACAAGUAUCUAUCUAAAGUAAGAAUUUUUUUCCUUUCAGAAAGAAGAUAAGAACAAGAGGCUCACCACGGUGGUGCUGGCGACGAGAUCGGCGCGGGCGAUCAACGGCGGUGAAGACGGGGACGGGACGUGACGGACGGCUAAACCUAGACAAAUCUCGGGGAAAAUGGAGCUCGGAGGUCGAGUUUCGAGAGGAGAAAGAUUAACUAGUGUGGCUCAAACAUUUCAUCGAACACCUCAUGUGCAUAGGAGGUGAGCUAGAGCACCCAAAUGCCCUCCCCUCGCCGGCCAGAAAAAAUAGAGCACUGUGGAGUGCUCUGCUGUGGCAACGAGGUAUAUAUAGGGAACUCAUUGGCCCCGGUUCGUGGCACCAACCGGGACUAAAGGCCUUUGGUCCCGGUUUGUGGCACCAAUCGGGACCAAUGCCCCCCUUUAGUCCCGGUUGGUGGCACCAACCGGGACCAAAGGCCUUGUGCUGCCCCGCGUCAAAAGUUUAGUCCCACCUCGCUAGUUGAGAGGGCUCGAGAGUGGUUUAUAAGCGCUGCUGCGCCCACCCUCUCGAGCUCCUUCAACUGCAAGCUUUCGGGCCUAACCGUUCUCUUUGCCUGUGGGGCCUACUGGGCCUUCUGCGGGCCUGAAUCCUGGCCCAUGGAUGGAUUUCAAGUCGUAUUCAGGCCGUGGUGGCCAAGUAGGUGGCAUAAUUUUUUUCUCGGUUUUUUGUUUUCUCUUUUGCUUUAUUUGUUUUGUUUUAUUUCUACUUACAACAAAAAACUUAUUUAUUUUAUUUCCAAUUACUUAUGUAUUUUACUUUAAUUAUUUUAUUUUUAUUUAUUUUACUGCUGCUAUUUUUAUCUAUUUUACUGCUGCUAUUUUUAUUUAAUUUAUUAAGGUUUAUUUAUUUUAGUUAUUAUAGUUUAUUUUAUUUUAUUUUAUUAAGGUUUAUUUAUUUUUAUUUAUUUUAUUAAGGUUUAUUUAUUUUAUUUACUAUAAAAAAUGAACAUAGAUGCGCCUUUAGAGAAAAUUCAACCUAAAUUCAUAAUAAAUUUCUAUGAAAUUCAAAGAAAUUUACUGUGAAUUUAGGUCAAAUUCCCUGUAUAAGGGCAUCUAUUUUCACUUUGAGAGGAGCUCAACAAGGCAGAGAGGGACGGGCUUAUAAACUGGUGUGAGCGCCCUUCGGUUGGCGAGGUGGGACUAAACACUGGCCGCAACUAGGACCAGCCCUUUAGUCCCGGUUUGUGGUAUGAACCGGGACUAAAGGGUGGUGGGCCAGGAGCGUGGCCCAUUGGUCCCGAUUUGUCCCACCAACCGGGACCAAAGGGGCCGGACAAACCGGGACCAAUGCCCCCACGAGGCCCGGCAGGCCCCUGGCCGCACGAACCGGGACCAAUGCUCGCAUUAGUCCCAGUUCGUGACUGAACCGGGACUAAUGUGGAUAUUGCCCUGUGACCAAAGCCCAGUUUUCUACUAGUGGUGGAAGGUGGGACGAAAAACAAACCAUGAUAGGUGGGACGAAAAUAAACCUGGAACGGAGACUACCAAGUACCAACUGAGGCAUUAGGAGUAGAGAUUUCCCGUGUCAUACAUGUCCAGCGAGAAGACCACAACUCCUUCUAUGUCGCGUACUAUUGUGGAGACCCUCUUUUUGGAUUUUUUUUUCAUCCGUUCACCUUCGAAAGAAUUUUUUUUCUUUCUAUUCGAGGUGGUACUAAAAUUUUAUGCGUGUAUCCGCUAGAAAAGAAAAAAGAUUUGUCCAGAGGCCGCGCACGCUCCGGCCCAAUGAAGCCAGCACACUUAUUAUUGCCCACGUAGUUGGGAAGAACUUAUUUGUUGUAUUGAGCGAUAAAUAAUUGAAGCUGCCCAUAGGACGCCUAAAACAGGGUCGGCCCAUUUCCCCUUUUUAGAUGUUCUAUUUCUAUUUUUUUCUGUUCCUUUCUCUUUCUCUUUUAUAUUUCCUCUUCCUUUUUUCCAUCUUUAUUUUUUAGUUUUUCUGUCAAAUAAAAAUUUACAAAAAUAUUCAGAAUUUGCAAAUUUUGUUCAAAUAUUGAAAAUUAGUCAGAGUUCAAAUUUUUUGUUCCUGAUUUGAAAAAUGUCCGAAACUUUUAUAAAAAUUCAUGUUUUGAAAUUUUCUCAUUUUUAAUUUUUUGUGUUUUUAAAAAAUUCUUAGAUAUUUUUUAAUAAAAACUACAUUUUAUAAAGUGUUCCAUAUAUAAAACUAUCCCUGUUUUAGUGACAUGUUCACAAAUCCAAAACAAUAGUUUUGUCUGAGAAAACAUUUUCUAAAAUGGUUUUGAAUGUUCCCCUUUUAAAAAGAUCAGAAAUUCAAAAAUAUUUGUGUGUUUUAUAAAAUUAUCAUGUUUUCAAAAAUAUUGUUUGUGAAUUUCAAAAACUAUUAAUGUUUCUAAAUUUUUUUGUUUUUCCAAAAAUAUUGGACUUUAAAAAAAAUGUCGCAUCUUUUGAAAAUUGUUUGGGAUUUAAAAAAUUGUUCACGUUUCCAAGAAUUUCGCCAAUUCAUAUUUAUGUUGAAUGUUCAAAAAAAAACCAAAAGAUAUUUCUAAUAUUACGCUAUAGUACUCCCCCCGUCCGGAAUUACGUGUCGCGAAAAUGGAUGAAAAUGGAUGUAUCUCGAACUAAAAUACGUCUAGAUACAUCCAUUUCCCCGACAAGUAUUUCUGGACGGAGGGAGUAUAUUAUUAAAUAUUCGCUGGCCAUUGGUUGGCGAUGCAUGGUCGUUCUAUGCUGGUUUACUAUAAAUGAAAGAAAUUGUAGGCACAUGCCAAUAAAAGAGAAUAUGUUGUUUGGCUUUAAUUGGAGCAAAAUGAUGGGCACUUGAGCACUAAAAUAAUCAAAGAGAAUAGACCCUAAAAAAGAAGAGACAUUCAUGCCUGAUCAUGCUAAUGAAAUGGGAUUGAUGCGUUGCAAUUAAUGAUCCACCUGGUUACGUGGUCAUAGGAUAGAGUGGUCAAAGCAACCGUGUCCCGAAGGUUGCCGUGCAGCCACCAAAUGAGGAGGCAGGCACAAUCCAAAGAUAGAGGCAGAUCCGGAGGAAAAAAGGCAUGAGUUGGGUGCUCGCCACCAAUCCGACCAACCCCACCAAUAUCGAGAUUUCCCGUGUCAUACAUGUCCAGCGAGAAGACCACAACUCCUUCUAUGCCGCGUACUAUUGUGGAGACCAUUUUUUUUGGACGACACAUCAAUUAUCUUUCCCGUUGCUUCUUACAAAAAAAAUGUCUUUCCUGUUGCAACGCACGGACAUAUAUGCUAGUAACUAUUAAGCAAUGUAUUUCGGAGCUGAUUAAUAUUUCUUUAUUAUGCAAGUACACUGCAUAAUAUAAGGCCUAAUAAAUUUAUACAUGUGAGAAAAAAAAUCUUGGGUCUUGGCAUUACUUGAUUCUUCACCACCUCUCAGUUUCAUCUAGAAAAGGAUGCCGAGAUUGACCCGGUUAAGUGGAUCAAGAUGGUUGAGAAAGAGAUCUCAUUAGAAUGUAAAAAGAAGAAUCAAAGGAAAGGUCCACGCUUAAACAAACUGGUUACAUGCAUAAAUAGAAAGGUCUGAAUAUGGACAUGUCAAUUCUUACACGGCAGGCAGAUAAAAUCAAGAUCACUAUUGCAACAACAAGAUUACACAGUUACACAAGUUGACAUAUAAUUAUAAGUUAAAUCCAAGUCGUGGCCACCACAUGUCAUAUGCGGUGAGCAAUCUAAAAAAUGUAUAUUGUAACUUAACUUAUGUUCGACGAGGGCGAAAAAUGCAUAUUGUAGCUGAAUCUAAUCAGAUCACGGAGGUGGAACCACACGUCGAGAGGUGAUAACCUUAACUUGUCUUCUCCAGUGAAGCUCACUGCUGCUCCUUUGGGUGGGUGUGUACGACAGGGAUCAGGACCAGACGCCCUCCACCGCAGGCCCCGACAAUUCUCGAUCGAGAGCGACUGUACUACAGUUGUAGAAGCAAUCAAUCACUCCCGUAGCACUCUAGCAGAGUAGAGCGGACAUCAGGGGAGGGAGGCCUAUUUAUUAUCCAAGAAACUCACAAGCAUAUCCUUUCCCAGGGCUGAAAACUACAGAGUGCAGACAGGUUUUCAACAACACUCUUGAGGAAGGAUGAUUUGACAUGCCAGCAACAUCUCCACGGUAACCAGCGCUGAUGCAAGCUUUCCAUCAGUAUGGUAUUGAAACAGAUACCUGGCAGAUGCUGAGGGAGAUGACUUAAUUCACAAUACAUAUGUCUGAAUCUGAACAAGAUAGAAAUCAAAGUUCAGCUAAGCCGAUCGACCUGGUAGUACAUUAUUUGAAGCAAACAGAAUCCAUGCCGUUUCUAUGUGGUUUCCGCCCUGCUUACUCCUGCAUGGCUUGCUGGCGCUCCCUGGCUUGUCGAGUGGCCUUCCUCCGCUCACGGACUAGCCUUGGCAUCUCCUUCCAUGUAUUCGGUUUAAGUGCCAUCACUGCACAUAUCGCAAAUGGCGUCAGAACAAACACGUACAAAUUAAUGUAACAUAAAAAUUUAUACCGGACGGAAGUAAAAUAAUGGAGAACAAACUUGGACAAACAUGCUGGCGUGGUAGAUUUAAUGGAAUGGAUGACUGCAUCUGUUUGUUAAAUGUGGCAAAGAUAGAAGGACGUGCUGCAAGCAUACCUUCAUAACGGGCAUCUAGUCCUUUGAUGUUAAUGCUGCCCAGUUGCUGCUGCAGGCAUCUAGGGAGCUUCUUUAUAGCAGGGCAGCCUGUAAUUCCAACAAAGUAGAGAGACCUGUAUACUUGCGGCUCAUUCGGCAGGGAUGCCAGGGUACUGCAUCUUUCAAGAUAAAGGUAUUCCAGCGAUGGGGGGUGCUCUCCCGACAGACACUCCAGCGAUGUCAGCCCACUGUUGCCAAUAAUGCGCAGUCUCUUGAGGGGCGCAGGCAGACGAAGAGUCCCACCCAACAUGGCAGCACAGUCCAGUAUUGCUAGAUAUUCGAGAUGGGGAGGAAGUAAAUGCUCUCUUGCAGUUGGUGCUGUUGCUGCUGGUGGCUCUGGCAUGAUAGGACUUCUGCUUAUGGAGGUAGUGGCUUCUGGAUUCUGGAGCCCACCCAGCUGACAUGAUAGGACUUGAAUGCUAUUGCAGCCAGAAAUAUAUAUGGUCUUUAAGGAUGGAGGCAGACUUAGAACCGCUUGUAAGCUUCCACAUUCGACUAAACUUAGAUCUUCUAGGCAUGGACAAAAGUGAUUCAUGGGUGAGGAUGGCAACUCUGAUACAGCUGCAGGCAUGACUGCCUCACUGCUAGAAGAUCCUUGGACUAACUCCGGCAUGCCCUGCUGCUUGCCGAAUAUGGACUCAAGCUUAUGGCACCGACGAAUAUUCAUUUCCUUGAGAGAUGCCGAAACGUUGAACAUCUCUACCAAAUUUACACAAUCAUAUAAAUAAAGGGACUCCAGACCUGGCAGGUGUUGACUCCUUUCGGACGCCAAUGGCUCAAGAGGAGCCUGUGCAUAUCCAGUCAGGUUUUCGCAGUUUCUAAUCACUAAUAUCCUCAAGGAUACCAAGCUUUGGAACACAUUCUCUGGCCAGUGGAUGAGCACAUCGCAUCUGUUAAUUACCAGCUCUCCAAGAUGUACAAAAUAGUCCCACGGCUCUAGUGCACCUGGUCCAAAGAAUGAGUUGCAGCGUCCUAACUCCAUAACUGUAAGUGGGGAUUUCUGGUUCCAUUUCUCUUUGCUGUCGACCAGUACAAUUGAAGUGCAUUCAGACUCUGAUGUUGUUUCUGUGUGUUCUAGCUUCAGUGUCAGCUUGGUCAAUGAAGACAAAUACCUGUCUACACAGUGGAAGAUCUCUUGCUUCCCAUCUUCAAUUUCGAAUAAACUGAGUUUUGGUGCUUUGGGCAAUGCUACCAGUUUUGGGCAUUUCUGGACUGACAGUUUCUCAAGCUCAGGAAACAAUGUCCCUUCAACUGCAUCCCAUCUCUGAAAGCUCUCCAAGUCUUCCAUUUUGAGCACCUUGAGGGCAGGAAAGGCUGAACGUACCAAUCUAUAACCACCUCCACUACAUGGUUCUUCAAGCAAUGGUGCUUCAGGUAAAUUUAUCAGCUUUGGGCAUUUCUCAAUUGACAGUUCCUCUAGACAAGGAAACAAUAUAUGUUCUCCUUGAGUCUCUUCGACUGCAUCCCAUCUCUGAAAGCUCUCCAACUCUUUCAUUUUGAGUACCUUUAGGGCAGGAAACGCUGAGCGUACCAAUGUAUAACCACCUUCACCACAAGGUCCUUGCAGCAAUGGUGCUUCAGGUAAUGCUACCAACUUUCCACAAUUACUAAUAAACAACUUCUCAAGCACAGGAAAUAUUGUUUGUUCUUCUUGCCUCUCAUCUAUUUCCGGCCAUCUUUCAAAACCCAACAGAUGUUCUAGCAUAAGCACCUUCAGUUUUGGAAAAGUGAGGAUUGUACUGCAUUUGAACAAAAAUUGCAAUCUUUCACAAUGAAAAAGAUGGAUCUCAACCAUGUUCUGCAACAUACCCAUGCACUCUCCUCCAUAGGAAUAUAUCUUCAGAACCUGCAGCCCAACAUGAGGUUCAAAAUUGUUGAGCACCUUGCUGACACAAACAGAGCUCCAUCUUAAUGUCAGUUCUCUGAGAUCCUUCUUUUUACCGAAAUCUGCCACUUUCGCUUCUGUUUCUAUAUCGAUAUUCUCUAACUGGCAUAGCUCUAGCUGCCCACCAAGGUUUAAAUGCUGCAGCUCUCCAACAUCACUGCAAUCAGGACCAGGAACUCCUGCCACAAACCAUGUCAGCGUCUGUAGGUUAGUGAGUUUUCCUAGUCCUGGAGGCAUGCUCUUCAACCCCGGACAUCCAUGAGUGUAGAGGUGACGGAGGAAAGUCAUAUACUUCAUUUGCAUUGGAAGUCGUUCAAGAUAACGGCAGUCGGAAAGGUCCAACACUUGCAGGUUAUAUAGAAUACUUAUAUCCUCAGGAAGUGCUUCGAUAUCACUCCACGAGAGAUCAAGGUACCUCAGGUGAUGCAGAUACUUUGGUUUGAGCGGAAAUGAUUCUGUUCCCAGACAGAGCUUCAAGGCAUGCAAAGAGCUAUAUUUUGAUAGAUGCUUCAAUGAGCUUUGAAUAGGACUAUCGCAUAUCAGUGUUUGAAUGGCAGGGGACUUUUUCUCCAAAGAAUCAUUCAAAAUACCUUCUGUUUCAUCACAUGACAAGAACAAAUGCCGAGCAGUAUCCGAAAGCCACUCAAUUUGACUUGGUUCCUUAAUUGCAACGACACAUUCCUUUCCCAUAACAGACAUUGCAAUAUCAUGCAUAAGAUCAUGGAUUUUGCAUGUAGUUCUGAAACAGUACUGCUGAUUUUGCAUGUCACCCUUAAAUUCCUCUAUGUCCAGAAAGAAUGACCUUGAUGCUAGCUCACUGAAAAUAUGUUUGCCAACGGUUUCAAGACUAUCUUCCUCCUGUUCUGGGAUAAAGCCAUUUGCAAUCCAAAGUUGGAUAAGCUUCUCCACAUUAAUCUUGUAAUCCUUGGGAAAUAUGGCACAGAAAGCAAAGCAUUGCUUCAUGUGUGCUGGCAAAUCGUUGUAGCUAAGCUUGAGUAUUGGCAAAAUUCCCGUUUCCUCAGUGCAGAUACUGCUUCUAGAUGAUACAACCUUCCAUUCUUCUACGCUGGUCUUGGUACGAAGUACAGAGCCCAGUGCAGUUGCAGCUAAAGGAGAGCCACGACAUCUCUUCACAAUCUCACCAACCAUCUCGAGCAGCUCGGGAGGCUUUUCAUUCUCUGAACUGAAUGCUCUAUCCACAAUAAUUUCCUCUAUGAAGUAAUCCUGCAAAACAUUGAGAUUGUAGGUUCUAUCUACACCCAUAGUUUCAGCAACUUGUUUAUCACGGGUUGUUGUCAACACUGCACUACCCAUGCCACCCUGUUGAAGACAGACCUUCAGCCUUUCCCACUUAUGGACCUCUCUGUUCCAGACAUCAUCCAAUACAAGGAGAUACCUCUGCCCGCUGACCAGUUUUUGAAGUCUAUCCAGUGCUGGUUUGUUUGUAUCAUCAUUUUUCUUGGGGGAUGCUUCAACUAUACUCUUAGCCACCGAAUUCACAUCAAAGGUAUCAGAGAUGCAGACCCAGAGCUGCAACGGAAAAUGCUUCUGAAUUUCAGGUUCAUUGUAUAUGAGUUGCGCCAAUGUGGUCUUGCCAAGGCCCCCCAUUCCAACAAUGGGAACUACUGCAAGAUUUGCAUUGCUAGCUUCACCAAGUAGCACCUUAAUGAUAUUAUUCUUAUCUUCGCGCCUGGAUCUGCUGGCAAUUUCUUGUGGGUCGAUGAUGACAUAAUCUGUGUGCCUCCACUCCUUGGACACUGGUGUCUGCCUCAACUGAUUGGACACCAACAAUGUCUGCCUCAACCCAAAGUCAUGCAUCUCUGCAAUGAGGAAAUUGACGCGGCGCAGAAGCAGGAGGCGACUCCGGUGAAGUUAUGGCGGCCGGCGCCGAACGGUACACACACGGCACAAGACAGUGGAACACAAGGGCUGUGCAGAAUGGUGAGAAGAGUGGUGUGAGCACAGGUGCAGGUGCAGAAUGGAGAAGAGAAUGGUGUGAGCAAGUCGUGCUUGGCUUUCUGUUAACCAAUCACAACUACCCAAUCUUGCAACGUUAACAGCUGGUGUGAGCACUUGGCAUUCUUUUUGGGCAUACCACGUUAACAGCUGGGGGUAUCUUUUUUUCUUAGUAGGGACAGCUGGAGCACCAGACAACCAGAAUAUUGCAAGUGGGUCAUUAUAAUUGAUAUUUAUAUGCCAGUAGAACCAAUGCAGUUUUUCAAAAUUUGCGUUCCACUGGCUGUGAAGUUAGCAAAUACGAUUUACUUUUUCCAAAUACAAAAAGUCGCAGAAAUGCAAAUCUAAAAAUUACCUGCGUGAGACAGCAUACCUAUUUGUGCAAAAGACAAUUCAUCUCGGAGUUUCUGCCACAGAGGGAAGGCCAAAACUUUGGUUUUCUUAAUUGGUUGAAUCUUGAAUGCAUCACAUGCCUCCUGCUGAAGAGAGAAAACCCAGAAACGGCUUUGAGAGCUACAAAGGAACGCCUGUAUUUUUUGUGUUAAUAUUGCCAAUAAUGGUGGAUGGAUCUAGCUGGUAUUUCUAGUUUCUUUUUCAAGAAUACGCUCAGGUCAUCACACAGGUCAUUUAUUUGCACCAGCUGGUUGGUGCACUGCCCCUUCUCUCGAAAUGUGCUUUCAAAAUUCAAACACCUCAUUAAGUGUACAUUUUGAUAUACUAAAGUGCAUAUCAGCAGGAAAAACACAAAUCAUCGCUGGCAUGUCCUUAAGAACUCUGGACUUUUUGGGAGAUUAGAGGAGCAUAUUUUCAGAAUUAGCACAGAUUAGCACAGUCCUCAUGGUGAGAACAACAUAUCCCAAAUUGCCAAUAAAAAUACUACACAGAUUAGCACAAGCACACUGCAGAACGGAGAAGAGAAUGGUGUGAACAAGACUGUGCUUGGUUUGCGUGUGAGAAAAACGGAAGAGCAUUGACUUUCUGGGAGCCAAGUGGCUGAGCUUGAUUUCUCGGAACCAACCACAACUAUCUAAUUUUGCAACAUCUCGGCACUGGGCAUUCUUCCUGAGCUGACAUGAAAUAAGGCAGCUAGCACUGCAUACCAACAGCUCGGGGUAUCUUCAUUUCUUUGCAAGUAUAUCAUUAUAUAAUGUAUGUUAGAUCCAAUGCAGUUUUUCAAAAGUGACAAUGCAUUGGAUGUGAACUCAGCAAACGGUAAGAAUUUCUUUCCAUGUACAAGAAGCUGCAGGAAUGCAAAUUAAACAAUUACCUCCACCGACGGGUGACAACAGACAUACAGUGCACCUACAAAACACAAUCCAUCUCUAAUUAACGCAUAACAUGCUUCCUGCUGAAGAUAGAAGACCCGGAGGCAAGUGGUUAUUUUCUUGUCCAUUUCUAAUGACACCUCUAAUUAACAUUGCAGGGGGCAGGAUCGAUCUCAAAGAGUAGCAUAAUCAGCUGCAGAUGAUUAUCACUUGUUCAUAUGGGCAAAUGAUAUACUUAACAUACGGAUAUGAUAAGACACAACUAGACAAUCUCCUAUUAUUUGACGAUGGAAGAUAUGUACGAGUAUACGAUACAAUUUGAUGAACCUAUUAGGUUCCAUUACUGUGAGACAGUGAAAACCAGAAUAAAGGGCUGUAUGGAGUUUUUUUAUCAGCCUAACGGGGUCGGCUUAAGUAACUAAAAUAAGAUGAAGCCUAACUUUUCAACCAUACAAGCAACAAAGUUAAAGACAGUGAGCUAAAACAAUAGUCGCGUAUACCUUAAAAGAUAAAUUCCCAGUGCCUUUUUAUUGAUCAUCACUGCGUAUGGCCAUAUAAUUUGCUAUUAGAUCAUCAUUAUAUUAUAUAUUUACGUCGGUAGUCGGUACAUACAAUGCAGUUUAUCAAAAGUGACAAUGCAUCCGCUGUGACCAAAGCAAAUAGUACAAAUUUUAUUUCCAAUUACCGAAGGUCGAGGAGUGCAAAUUAAACAAUUACCUCCACCGACGGGUGACAGCACACAUACAGUACACCUACAAAAUACAAUUCAUCUCGAGGACCACAAUAUUGGUUUUCGUGAAUUAUUGAAACUUGAAUGCAUCACAUGCUUUCUGCUGAUGAGAGAAGACCCGGGGGCAAGUGGUUAUUUUCUUGUCUUUUAUAAUGACACCUCUAAUUAACAUUGAAGGGACAGGAUCGGCUCUCAAAGAUAAGAAUAAUCAGCUGGCAGAUGAUUAUCUCUUGUGCAUAUGGACAGAUGAUAUAUACUUUUGUACUGAUAUGCUAAUUCAUGUUUUUCGACAAUGAAUGAUAUGUAUGAGUAUGAGAUACAAUUUUGACGAGCUUAAUAGGUUCUAUUAUUGUGAGGCAGGAACUUAUGGAGUUCUUAUUAUCAACUUAAUGAGAUCCGCUCAUAACCAACUAAAAUCAGAUGAAACCCAACCUUUUAACCAUACAACGGAGGCAGCAGAAAUAAAGAUAGAGAGCUUAACGAGAUCCGCUUAACUAACUAAAAUCAGAUGAAACCUAACUUUUUAACCAUACAAUGGAAGACAAGGGCAGUGCAGAAUGGAGAAAAGAAUGGUGAAAACACAAAUGCGGUGCAGAAUGGAGAAGAGAAUGGUGAGAGCAAGAUGUGCUUGCCUGUAAGGAAAAUGGAAGCCAACGUGAGUGUUGACUUUCUGUGAGCCAAGUGGAUGAGUUUGAUUUUCAGUAACCAAUCAGAACUAUCCACUCUUGCAACAGCUCAGCAUUAGCUGGGCAUUCUUUUUGGGAACACCACGUUAACAGCUGGGCAUAUCUUCAUUUCUUAAUAAGGCACAGCGACAAAGACAACCAGAAUAUUGCAAGUAGAUCAUUAUAUUAGGUAUUUAUAUGCCAGUACAUUGCUUGGCUGUGAACUUAGCAAAUACGAUUUUCUUUUUGCAAAUAUACAAAAGGUCACAGGAAUGCAAAUCUAAAAAUUACCUCAACUGACUAGACGUGUGACAGGAUACCUACUUGUGCAAAACACAAUUCAUCUUAGAGUUGCUGCCAAGGAGGGAGGGCCGGAGUAUUGGUUUUCUUGAUUGGUUGAAUCUUGAAUGCAUCACAUGCUUCGAUUCCCGCUGAAGAGAGAAGACCCAGAAAUGGCUUUUAGAGCCCGGAAGCAACGCCUGUAUUUUUUUUAUAUUGGCAAUAAUGGUGGAUGGAUCUAGCUGGUAUUUCGGGUUUCUUUUUCAGAAUACGCUCAGGUCGUCUCACAGGUCAUUUAUUUGCCCCAGCUGGUUGGUGCACUGUCCCUCUCUCUAAAUGUGACUUCAAAAUUAAAACAUCUAAUUAAGUGUACAUUUUGAUAUACCAAAGUGCAUAUCAGCAGGAAAAACACAAAUCAGCACUGGCAUGUUCUUAAGAACUCUGACCCUUUUGGGUUUUGUACAUAAUAUUGUGGGAGACUAGGGGAAGCAUAUUUUCAGAAUUAGCACAGAUUAGCACAGUAGUAAUUUACGUCAGUACAUAGAAUUUCUGAGCAAGCACAGUGCAGAAUGGAGAAGAGAAUGGUGUGAGCAAGCCAUGUUUGGCUUGCGUGUAAGGAAAAUGGAAGCCAGAAUGAGCAUUGACUUUCUGGGAGCCAAGUGGACGAGCUUGAUUUCUGGGAACCAAUCACAAACUAUCCGAUCUUGCAUACCGUAUUAGCUGGUGACAGCACUGGGUACCUUCAUUUCUUAAUAGGCAAAAGCUUGACAAACCCUCUUAUUGCAAGUCAGAAUGAAGAUUUCUCAUUCUUAAUAUCGCAAGUAGGUCAUUAUAUUACGUAUUUACGUCAGUACAUCCAAUGCAGUUUUUCAGAAAUGACCAUGCAUUGGCUGUGAACUCGGAAAAUAGUAAGAAUUUUCUUUCCAAAUACAAGAAGUCGCAGGAAUGCAAAUUAAACAAUUACCUCAACUGACGGGUGACAGCACGCAUACAUUGCACCUACCAAAUACUACCUCCGUUCCAUAAUAUAAGAGUGUUUUUUACACUAUUGUAGUGUCAAAAACGCUCUUGUAUUAUGGGACGGAGGGAGUACAAUUCAUCUCGAGGACAACGACAUUGGUUUUAGUGAAUUCAUUGAAACAUGAAUGCAUCACAUGCUUUCUGCGGACGAGAGAAAACCCGGGGGCAAGUGGUUAUUUUCUUACCUUUUUUAAUGACACCUAUAAUUAACAUUGAGUUAACUGGGCAAUUCUCUUCUCCUUAAUUAAUCGAUGAGGCAAAUCUUUUGCCUCCGUUUCGAAAAAAUAAUAAUAAUUAACAUUGAGUACAGGAUCGGAUCUCAAAGAUAAGAAUAAUCGGCUGGCAGAUGAUUAUCUCUUCUGUAUGUGGACAAAUGAUAUAUACUUUUGUACUGAUAUGAUAAUUUACGUUAUUCAAUGAUGAAAGGUAUGUAUGAUUAUGAGAUACAACUUCGACGAGCUUAAUAGGUUCUGUUAUUUUGAGGCAGUGAAGACCAGAAUAAAGGACUGUAUGGAGUUCUUGUCCUUUAUUAACAAGGUCCGCUUAACAAACUAAAAUCAGAUGAAACCUAACUUUUUAAUCAUACAAUGGAGGCAGCAAAAAUAAAGAUAAAGAGCUUAACGAGAUCCGCUUAUAACUAACUAAAAAUCAGCUGAAACCUAACUUUUUAACCAUACAACGGAGGCAGCAAAAAUAAAUACAGAGAGCUAAAAAAAUAGUGACGUAUACAUUAGAAGAUAAAUUCCAGUGCCCUUUUAUUGAUCAUCACUGCCUAUGGCCAUAUAAUUUGCUAUUAGAUCAUCAUGAUAUUAAUAUAUUUAUGUCGGUACAUCCAAUGCAGUUUUUCAAAAGUGAAGAUACAUUGCCCGUGAACUCAGCAAAUAGGAGUGUUCUUUCCAGAUACAAGAAGUUGCAGCAAUGCAAGCUAAACAAUUACCUCCACUGCUGGGUGACCACAGGGAGGACCACAAUAUUGGUUUUCGUGAAUCUUGAAUGCAUCACAUGCUUCCUGCUGAAGAGAGAAGACCCGGUGGCAAGUGAUUAAUUUUUCUUGUCCUUUAUUAAUGACACCUCUAACUAACAUUGAAGGGGCAUGAUCGAGCUCAGAGAUUAGCAUAAUAAGCUGGCAGAUGACCAUCCCUUGCUCAUAUGGACAAAGGAUACACUUAAUAUACUGAUAUGAUAAAAACACAGCUUGACAAUCUCCUGUUAUUCGAAGAUGAAAGAUAUGUAUGAGUAUGCGAUACAAUUUGUGGGUUUUCUUUAUUUUUGAGACAUACAAUUUGGUGAGCUUAAUAUGUUCCGUUAUUGUGAGACAUUGAAAAGCGGAAUAAAGGGCCAUGUGGAAUUCUUUUUAUCAGAUUAACGAGAUCGUCUUCACUAACUAAAAUCAGAUGAAGCCUAACUUUGCAACCAUACAACGGAAGCAACAAAAAUACAGACAGAGACCUCGAACAACAGUGGCCAUAUGAAUGAGAUCUGGGACUCGGCCAUAUGAACAACAGUGAAGAUAAAUUCCAGUGUCCUUUUAUUGAUCGCUGCCUAUGCCCAUAUAAAUGAGAUCUGGGACUCAGCCCGCUCCAACAUGGCUCUAGAAAGCACAUUUCCUCUGACGCACAUAUGAAAUACGACAGUACAAAACAGAACAAACACUGAGAUUAUAAUUAUACAGAUGACUGGAUGCUGUAACUAACUUGGAUAUCGCUGCACCGAAGACGGACUUUCUUCUCAGACAUCAGAGAGAAACGGAAUGUCCAUGCCAACUGCUUCUCCUCGACUCCACCUGCACAGCGCGCAUAGGCGGAAAUUUGAUGAUUAUUUGAAGUGACAUACACAUAAAGCACAGAGUUACUCAGCUAACAAAGCACGUAUGUACAUCGCUGUCAGGCUGAAUCCUGCUUCCUGACAAUCGGAAUUCAUGUGAAUCGAAUCGCUGGAAGAGACGGACAGACAGGAUCGAUACCUUGUGUCCACGGCGAGGCCUGAGUGGCUGCCGUCGACGUACGACCCGCAACCGACGGAGGAGCUCCGGGACCUUCUUGUCGAGACCAUCUGCAAUGGAAGUAAAAAAGAGCUGUUAGAAGAGGAUCCGAAAGAGGUUGAUGGUAGGAAGGAAUGGGAAGGGGAACGAGUGGGUGCCUCGAGCGGCCGCGGUGGUGGUGGGCGGGCGGAUGCGGAGGGUGGGAGGGAGGCUGACACCUCCGCCGCCACAGACGUACGUGGAGCGGCCGCGGGCGGUGGGAUCCGGGAGAGGCUGCGGCGGCGAGCGGUCCGGCCGGCGAGGAGGACGGGGAAGGGAGAGACGAAGACGACGCAGAUCGGCGGAAUGUGGGCUGGGCUUGUGACUUUGAGGCCUCCGAAAACUAUAGCCCAGUUCGAAUUGGUGCCCUAACACACACAACACUUACGUUGGGCCUAAUCGCUCGCUCCUGCCCCUGCUCAAAAUUUUUUUUGCUCCAGGCUGGGGGCCUCUGUUCCACCCCCAUCUAUCGCUCCACCUCCAAACAAAAAAAAAAUCUAUCACUCCACCUCCACUCCAAAAAUAUAAAAUUCUAUCAAUCCACCUACGCCUCGAAAAAAGAAAUCUAUCACUCCACCUCAGCAUUGAUGUCUCUAGCUUGUAGAAACUGCCAUCCUUUACAUGUAAAACGGAUUCGAUGAGUCAUGUCAUGCUCUAUAGACGUCAGUUCAUCUUAUCAUCUUACAGGAAAGUACAAAGUUAGUUUUCUGAAAAGCAACCGAAUAUAGAAGAACACUCCACACUCAAGGCUUUACUAAUCGAGCAUAUCCUAACAGCCCACACAUGAUUGCAAACUUAGUCAUACACAAGUUUUGCCUUUCUUGUUUACGGCUGACAGCCUAUACAAGGUUCCAAACUCGGUUGUAAAAGUGAUACUAUCUUGAUAAGUGUGUGACAUGUAAAGUUAAUAAGGUGAGUCAUAUAUAGCAAAUAUCGGGGUUUCUGUACUUUGUGUGUGAUCGUAUGCACAACUAAAAAUCAACUUUGAUGAUCAAUAUAUCCAAAAGUACGCUUGUAGCUAGUGCAAACCUAACCCAAUGUAACAAAAUAAUUCAUUUCAGAUGGAGCCAAACAGAAUUAUUAAAGCUGAUGCAAAGAAGGAAAAGAGGUGGUUCCUGGGCUACUAUAAAUAGGCAUGAAGUAUAAAGAUCAUCACAAGCACAAGCAUCAGAACCAAGCAACACUAGUUAACACCAAUCCACCAUGAAGACCUUCCUCGUCUUUGCCCUCCUCGCCGUUGCGGCGACAAGUGCAAUUGCGCAGAUGGAGACUAGAUGCAUCCCUGGUUUGGAGAGACCAUGGCAGCAGCAACCAUUACCACCACAACAGACAUUUCCACAACAACCACUAUUUUCACAACAACAACAACAACAACUAUUUCCUCAACAACCAUCAUUUUCGCAGCAACAACCACCAUUUUGGCAGCAACAACCACCAUUUUCUCAGCAACAACCAAUUCUACCACAGCAACCACCAUUUUCGCAGCAACAACAACUAGUUCUACCGCAACAACCACCAUUUUCACAGCAACAACAACCAGUUUUACCUCCACAACAAUCACCUUUUCCACAACAACAACAACAACACCAACAGCUGGUGCAACAACAAAUCCCUGUUGUUCAGCCAUCCAUUUUGCAGCAGCUAAACCCAUGCAAGGUAUUCCUCCAGCAGCAGUGCAGCCCUGUGGCAAUGCCACAACGUCUUGCUAGGUCGCAAAUGUUGCAGCAGAGCAGUUGCCAUGUGAUGCAACAACAAUGUUGCCAGCAGUUGCCGCAAAUCCCCCAGCAAUCCCGCUAUGAGGCAAUCCGUGCUAUCAUCUACUCCAUCAUCCUGCAAGAACAACAACAGGUUCAGGGUUCCAUCCAAUCUCAGCAGCAGCAACCCCAACAGUUGGGCCAAUGUGUUUCCCAACCCCAACAGCAGUCGCAGCAGCAACUCGGGCAACAACCUCAACAACAACAAUUGGCACAGGGUACCUUUUUGCAGCCACACCAGAUAGCUCAGCUUGAGGUGAUGACUUCCAUUGCGCUCCGUAUCCUGCCAACGAUGUGCAGUGUUAAUGUGCCGUUGUACAGAACCACCACUAGUGUGCCAUUCGGCGUUGGCACCGGAGUUGGUGCCUACUGAUAAGGAAAGAUCUCUAGUAAUAUAUAAUUGGGUCACCGUUGUUUAGUCGAUGGAUAUGUCGAUGCAGCGGUGACAAAUAAAGUGUCACACAAUGUCAUGUGUGACCCGCCCAAACUAGUUGUUUAAAUUCUGAAAUAAAAUAAAAAUAAAGUUGUAUCAAGACAAUGUUCAUAUUGGCAUUGUGUGGAUGUCAAUCUGAUUGCCAUGCUUGCAAGUUCAUAAGUUUGUCUUUCCUUGUCACAAGCGCAACCUGGUGCCUUAAUUAAUUAUCAAUGUACUGGAAUAAUCACUAUUUAAAUAUAAUAGUGUCACUGUAAAAUUUGGGUUGAACUCUUUAUUGGUUGGAGAUUUGAGAUCUUGUUUUUUAUUGGUUUGUAUCUAGUACCAACUAGUACCACUGUCUACAGUGACAAUCACAACCAGUUUUGUUGCUAAUUAUGUUUGCUUUCUUGCAAAUACAUUCAUUGAUUCUUUGCAUGUCAAAUUAUUUGCCGAGAAAAAUACCAGCUUUUUCUUGAACUUCACAAACACCACUAGCUAGUUAAUUUGAAAUAAGCUGCCAAUUUAUUUCCUUGUAUUUAUGCCCUUUACAUCGAACCAGUACAAUCAUUGUGCUAGCUAGAGAAAAGGAGUUGCUGGCACGUUCAUGUCUAGAACUAAAUCAGACUGAAUUGAACUUGUUCUUUACAACUAGCUAGGAGCAGAAAACUUACUGUGAAUUGCACUUGAUUAUAUUUGAUUUUGUUUAAGAGCUACAGGGAAAAAUCAUCAAAAAAUGCCCUAAAAUAUCUUAUCGUAAAAUAGGUUCACCAGGAGAUACAGUCGCAAGAAAAAAAAGGCUCACCAGGAGAUAGAUGCUGCACAUUAUCAUUUAGAAAUUAGACCAAGAGAAAUGUGGAUUUGGCGGCUCAUAAUUCUAUAAGACUAUAACAGGUUGUCCAAUCAUUUAGAAAUUAGAUCAAGAAAAUGUGGAACUAAACAUAUUAAUGGCUAGGAUCAUAUUUGCACUGUGGGAACUUGGUAUGCGCGCUCCAACAUGCCCGUUGAAAGCAUUUUUUCCUCUGAUGCACAUAUGAAAUAUGACUGGUCGAAAACAGAAGAAACAGUGAGAUAAUAUGGAUGCUUGGAUGUUGUAACAAACAUAAACUUAUUAUAUAUAUAUCCAAUCCACCGAGCGGACGAACAUCCUAGGAGCUUUUCUCUCGGAGAUCGAAAAGAAACGAAAUGUCCACGCCAACUGCUUCUUCUCCAUCUGUAUAACGCGUGUAGGAGAAUUAUUUUGAUGAUUAUUUGAAGUGGCAUCCACAUAGAGUACAAAGCUAUUCAGCUAGAAAAGCCACAAAUGUACAUCACUUUUAGCCUACAUGACUGAACUCUGCUCCAUGACCUUCUUGAUUCAUGCGGCUCCUGAAUUCAUGUGAAUCGAAUCGCGGAAGAGAUAGGCUUUCAGGGUCAAUACCUCAUGUUCAUGGGAAGGCCGGAGAGGCUGCGUCGAUGUGCAGCCUGAACCCGAGGAGGAGCUCCGUGUCGGUGUCAAAACCGGCGGAUCUCGGGUAGGGGUCCCGAAUUGUGCGUCUAGGAUCGAUGGUAACAGGAGACGGGGGACACGAUGUUUACCCAGGUUCGGGCCCUCUCUAUGGAGGUAAUACCCUACUUCCUGCUUGAUUGAUCUUGAUGAAUAUGGGUGUUACAAGAGUUGAUCUACCAUGAGAUCGUAAUGGCUAAACCCUAGAAGUCUAGCCUAUGUGUAUACGGUAAUGAAUGUCCCCUAUCCGGACUAUGCUCUCCGGUUUAUAUAAACACCGGAGAGAUCUAGGGUUACAUGGAGUCGGUUACAUAAGAAGGAAUCUUCACAGCUGGUCACCUAGCUUGCGUUCCACGCCAAGGGAAGUCCAAUCCGUACACGGGUGUAGUCUUCGGCCUUCGUAUCUUCACAGCCCAUCAGUCCGGCCCAAUGAAUAAUAGGCCGGACGCCCGAGGACCCCUUAGUCCAGGACUCCCUCAGUAGCCCCUGAACCUGGCUUCAAUGACGAGGAGUCUGGCGCGCAGAUUGUCUUCGGCAUUGCAAGGUGGGUUCCCUCCUUCCGAAUUCCGGAAUAGUCUUCGGAUGCAGUAGAUAUAUUUGGACCUGUGUAUAUAAUUGCAAAAAAUACAAUAUUCCACGAGUCUAAUUUGUUGAUAACUGUUUACAACAUCGCAUCACGCCUGCCCGGUUACUAUUUCCAACCGUUGGCUGGCACGUCGCCCCACGUCUCGGGACGCGGUUUUACUGGCACGUCUUGCCAAGGCAGAGAUCGUGUUCCCUUAUUCACGGGACUUUCAUUAAUGCAAGCGUGGGUAACCCAACCGUCCCCUGGGUACAACUCUCUGGGGAUAGGUAAGUUUCGAGACCCAGGUGGAUACCCUUAGUAUUUGGGGUCUUUAUAUAGGGCCCCAGACUCGUCUUCUUCCUUUGCGCUUGCUUCUUCCUCAACCCUAGCCACCCCAAGUUCCAACCCUCGGGUUCCCAUCGCCACCAGCCCUAAUCAUGUCCGAAUCCAGCCGUCAAGGCCGGUGGGUGGCUUCUUCUAUCACAGAGGAGGAUAUUGCAAAGCUCUGCGCAGUGAGGUAUCUGACCCCGGAAAUCCUUCAUCAGCUUCCUGCACAGGGGCAGGUCGUUCCUACCCCCAAAUCCGGCGAGAGGGUAGUGUUUGUGUCCCACUUCCUCCAUGGGUUAGGUUUCGCGCUUAACCCCUUCGUCCGGGGGCUCAUGUUCUACUAUGGGCUAGACUUUCACGAUCUAGCCCCGGACUCUAUUCUUCUCAUCUCGACAUUUAUCGUCACGUGUGAGGCCUUCCUUCGGACUCCUCCGCACUUUGGUUUGUGGCUCAAGACCUUUGAUGUGAGGCCGCAGGUGACAGAGGAGGAGCAGGCAGAGUGUGGCAGCGUCACAAUAGGCAAGCUUGCCAGCGCGGUUUGGUUUGAAGGAUCUUUCACCAAGUCUUCCGACCUAUGGCAGCACGGGUGGUUUUAUAUCAACGAGCCGCGGGGCUCCAAGUGGGAGGCUACGCCUGCGUUCCGACCCGGCCCUCCAAUUCAGCUCGCUUCAUGGAUCAAUAAGGGACUGGACUGGGGAUCCGUCAAUGAAAUGCAGACUCUGCAAGGUCGCAUCCGAAGCCUUACCAAGAAGGGCAUCGGUCUUGUGAACGUCGUUCAAGUAAUGCUAGUCCGCCGGACCCUGCCAUGUCAGCGGCGGCCUCUCCGUAUGUGGGAGUUUAAUUCAGAAGGGCAGCGGCCUCUUCAGCACUUCUUCGGCACCACGCACGAAGGAAUGUGGAAAUUAUAUUUCGGGGAACGAGAGCAAUGGCCGGACACCACCGAAGAUGUCGGCCUUGACUGCAAUCAUCCAGACACCGCGGUAAGUACUCAAACGCUGAACACAUUCAAGCAUCUCUUGACAACAUACUGAACAAUCCGUCCCUAUACAGGACUGGAUAAAGAAAGCAGUGUUAAUCUGGUGUCCGGCGCCCCUUCCCGAAGACUCUGCGACCGCCCUGCUGACGAGAAUGCUGAUUCCCACACCGUACCAGGUUUCUGCGGAGGAGGGCGAGAGCGGGGAACCCGAAGGUGAUACCCGCCCUGAGGACGAAUUAGACAUUGUGUUCGGGGAAACCGAAACUCUUUUGCCCAAGGGCAAAGGUGCGGAGGAAGCUCUCCAUGGCAAAAAGAGGGCUGCUUCCGAAGAUCAGGAGGGGAAGCCUUCCAAGAGAGGAAAAAUGCCAUCGUCGGGCAGUUUGGGCCGGCCAAGCGAUGCUGCCGUAAGGCUUUCUGGCGAGGACGAACCUCUGGCCAAACCGUAAGUGAGGCUGGGGCACUUUAAACAUACCUCAUUCUUUUCCUAUUAGUGAAGUAAUCAUCCGACAUAUGCACAUCCACGUAGGUUAACGCCUGGUGUUUCUCAAUCAUCCUCCUCCUCGGGAGACCUUCUUCCGGAGAUGAUGGAGAGUGACACGCCAUCUCCGGCUUCUUCGCGCAACAGGGGGGAUGAUACCGAGGUAUCGUCCCGAAGGGCUCCUCCCCAUCGUCAAGCGGUGCAGGAAACGGAGAAGGCGUUACCCGAAGGUGGUGCCUCUGUCACCCAGGGUUCGGGAAUCAAGAAUGACGGCCCCGAACCAUCCGGUUUACAGCCGGAGAUGAUUCUGGGGGAGAAUAAGCAGAUUAAUUCAAAGGAAUGCCGUACUCCGGCGGCGGUUUCCGAAGACCCCGGAGCGCCGGAAAUGUUGACGGACAUGCUGCGGCGAGCGUCCAUUUCAGAGAAGCACCAUGCCUUGAUGGUUACGGUGGUCGAAAAGGUUCUAUCCGCGAAAAGCGGAUUGAACGAGGCCUUCUGGAGCCUUCUAAGAGGUUUUGAGGUUUGUGAUGUAGUUUUGCCAAUUGAAUGAUUUUGACAGAAUGCACUUGUUGUAUAUGCAGUAGCCCCUGAGACUCGGAUUGCCUUCCGAAGGAAGCGAUCGGAGGAUAAAAAAGAUAUGCUCAGUUACUAACCUUGAAUCAACUUGGAAUACAGGCUGCCUCGCCUCCUGCGGCUACCCGAAAUACGGAAGUGGCCGAACUGCAGCGAAAGCUGAAUAUUGCAGAAGAUGACAUUGCAUUGAUCAACAAGCGUCUUGACGACUCGCAAGGUAUAUAGUUCGAGCAUUCCUUACACGAAUGUUCUUGUAAUGUAGGCCUGACGCCGAAAAGGGUUUAAUGUGCAUGAUUGCAGAUGGUGUUCCCUCCGUUGAAGCUCCUUGUGAGGAGCUAGCCCGGCCCAAGGAGCAGGCCCGGUGUAGUGAUGCGGCUGCCGAGAAGGCAUCGGCUGAUCUAAGAGCCGAAUAAGCAGCUCGGCGCCGAAGUGAGGAGAAAAUAUCCGCACUGGCGCUUGAAUUGAAGAAUACUGCCAGCCACUGUGAAUUCCUUGAGAAGGAGAAUAAAGCCAAAAUGGCUGAACUUGAUAAGGCCGUUCGAGAGGCGAGUGAAGCUCGGUCUGAAUCUAGGGCAGCUUGGGAAGAGAUUCGGCAGGCUAAGGAGAUAGCGGCCGGUAAGCCCUUUUUGCUUCAGACUAAGUUUGGCGAUCCGGACUAUGCUCAGCUAAACCAGGUCUGGAGUUCUCCGACUGAAUUUUUGGACUUGCCGAAGAGUUCUUCCAAUGCAGCGCAAUUUUACCAAGCGCAAGAGGGGUAUGCGAUGGAGAAGCUUUUCUGGUCACAAUUUGGCGCCUCAAAGCGCCCUCUGUUGCUAAAUGAACAGAUGUCCCAGUGGGCCGAGCUUCAUAGGAUAUCCGGCGACGCCAUGAAGAACGUCAUAAUCCGGUUGUGGCCGAGUGAGCCUGUUCCCAAGAGCUAUUUUGGCCUGGUGCGGCGUCUUGUUGAUGCUGUGCCGCGUAUCGAUGCUGCGAAGCGGUCGGCAUGCACUGAGGGUGCACGGAUGGCCUUUGCCCGAGUCAAGACGUUCUGGGGGAAGAUGAAGGCCAUCGAUGUUGCGGCGAAGGGUCCGCCCAAGGGCAAGGACCGUAAUGAGCCGGAGCAUUAUUUUGAAGACGUCCUAGAAGCCGCCCGCCUGAUAGAGGGUCAAUGCUCGAAGAACAUAAUGUUCGAGUGAGGUGUAUUAGAAUUGUAAAAGACAAUUUUAUGAUUGAUCUAUUUUAUAUUUUUGCUCCAAAGCUUGAAUUCCUCCUCUGCGGCCGUUUUAAUAUAAUAUGAAAGUUUUCCAGUCGUCGGCUUCAGCCCCCUCGUAGGAAGUACGGGGGUGUUCGAAAAAACAUUUAAUCACUCUUUGUCCAAUGUCUUGGUCCGUAAAGGAGGUGAUAAUGCAGCGAACCAGGCAAUCGGACUAUAAGGCGUUAACACUUUCACUUAGCCAUAGGAGUUUUAUGGUGGGGCUACGACAUUGCCCCUGGUGUGUAUGCGGCGUAUAAUGCCUUGCAUAUUUGAUCUGAAAAAGAUCCCUCGUAUGACACGGAGAAUCGCUAAGGAUUCCAAGAAGUCGUCAAGUGGUUAAUCAGCUCUCGCCGCAUCAUGACAGUCAGUUUUCGGCUUUCUCUACUGAGGUGCUCGUCCGGUUUAGAACAGGGCACAAUCGCAGUAGUUCUCCCUUUACUACCCUAGCCGAUAGAGCGGAACGUAGGGUAGCAAGCACAGGAGCCGGGCAACCCAACUAUUGACCCAAGACAAUGAUUCGGAGCUGAUGCAUAUAAGGCCAAACUUGCGACGCCCAAGUACGCUAUAGAGUUGUUGGGACUUUUGCUGGCAACUCUUUCGUUCCCAUACCGAGCCCCUGGCAGGGUAUGCCGAGGUGUAUCUGUAACGCAGCCAUUGAGGCCGUACUCAUUGUUGCAAGAGUAUGAAAGAUUAGUUCGGACGAGGUUUACUGGGAACGGAGCAAUAUGCCAAUGACGAAUUUAAAAAUAAUAAAAAAGAAACCACAAGCCCGGCUAUUUGACAUGCUCGGGGUCGGGUACAGAGGAAAAAAAGGCUUAAUACAGGCUCGGAAUAAAGAGUGUGGUCUACAAAAAGUUAUUUUGGACCUCCUGUCGCACGUCUGCGCCGCCCGUCCUCGGGGAGGGGAAUCCUUAAGGGAAGUAGCCCCUUAGGUGAGUGUACGGAUCCGAACUCCGAUAGAGUCCGUUGUAGAUGCUGUCAUGUUGGUCACCUGUUCUUAAGAAAUGAUACAGAAAAAUAAGAAAAACGGAUAAGAACGUUACAGGGAUUCUUGCAGGCUUGUCCAUAUUGUGCUUCCGCCGAUGCCCAUGGUAUCUUGAGUGCGUAGUGAUGUAUGCGUGGUGUGAAUCUCGCCGGUAUGGUAGGUGGGUGGCGGAUGCCGAACUGCUAUUUCUGUUCCGAGAGUGGUCGAACUUCGGAGGGAAACUGCUUCUGGCCCCUGAUAUUCGGCUGGCGAAACGCUCCGUUGUCUUUAUCGCCUGGUGGCCUCCUCCCCUUGCUAUCGGCGUUGAGCUUGCCUGCCUGCUUGAGGACCCAACAAUUUCUGUUAGUAUGGUUAGCUGGCUUAUCAGGAUGACCAUGAAUCUGACAAGGUCGGUCCAAUAUUCUGUCAAGGGUGGAUGAUCCAUCCUGGUUUGCCUUUAGUGGCUUCUUCCAUUGACCGGGUUUCGAAUUGUGAAAUUCGGCGUUGACCGCUGUGUCGCGUAAUCCUUCAGUAUUAUUGCGACUGUUGUGUUCGGUUCGUCGAGGCUUACCGUUGCCGUCUUGAAUUUCGGAAGUGCCCGGGUCACUGGCGUUGUUGCUCUUACGAGCGAGCCAGGUGUCUUCUCCCGCACAAAAGCGAGUCAUCAGAGCGGUAAGGGCUAUCAUGGAUUUGGGUCCUUCCUGGCCGAGGUGACGCGCUAGCCAUUCAUCCCGGAUGCCAUGUUUGAAGGCUGCGAGGGCUUCUGCGUCCGGACAGUCGACAAUAUGUUUUUUUUUUUGACUAAGAACCUAGUCCAGAGCUCCCUGGCGGACUCGCCGGGCUUCUGGACAAUAUGACCAAAGUCAUCAGCAUCUAGUGGCCGGACAUAUGUUCCCUGGAAGUUGUCUCGAAAGGCGUCUUCCAAGUCUUCCCAGCUACCAAUAGAAUUUUCUGGUAAACUGUUUAGCCAGUACCGGGCUAGCCCUUUAAGCUUGAGAGGUAUGUAUUUAAUGGCAUGAAGGUCGUCUCCGCGAGCCAUGUGGAUAUAUAUGGAGGAGGUAAUCCUCAAUCCAUACCGCGGGAUCUGUUGUUCCAUCGUAUGAUUCGAUAUUAAUGGGUUUAAACCCGUCUGGAAAUUCAUGCUCCAUUACCUCGUCGGUGAAGCAAAGAGGGUGUGCGGCUCCUCUAUGUUGAGCCACACUAUGAAGCACCUCCGGCGGACUCUGUUUACGGAGUUCGGAUCGAGCGUGGUCGGCUCUGUUGUGUCCGAAUAGGUGACCAUCAUUACGGUCGGGGCAUGUCCCCGCGAUCUGUGUAUUGACUUCGUGUGUCAUGUUCUACCCUCCAGGUCCUUGGAUGUCGCGAGUGUUCCCCCGAGCUGUGUUGUUCUUGUUUUGAUGGCCGGAUGGGUUGGUAUGAUGCUCUGCUUGGGCUACUGCUUUGUCCGGACCGAACUGUGGUCGGCCUACAUCCUUAUUCGAUGGUGGUGUGGGCUUCAACGCCCUGCCAUCGUAUUGAGGGGGCCACCUGCUGUUGGGGUGGCUCUUGUCUGGGCCAAUAAGGCCGUAUUGUUCGGCGGCCAAGACCUCGGUCCAUCUAUCAUUGAGCAAAUCUUGGCUCGCUUUAAGCUGCAGCUGCUUCUUUCUUAGGCUCCUUGCAGUGGCUAUGAGCUGGCGUUUAAAGUGCUCCUGCUCGAGAGGUUCCUUAGGCACGAUAAAAUCCUUGUUGUCGAGGAUCUCCUCUUCCUCGGAGAGUGGGAGAUAAUUGCUAUCCUCUGAGUCUCCAUAUGUUACCUGUUCAUCAGGGUUGUCUUGCCCGCCUUCCUGUUCCUCCUGUUCGGAUCCUACCUCAACAGGGUCUUCAUCGUCCGGAGUGUUGUCUUCUCCGGUGCAAGUGUUAUUUUCUCUUGAGCGUCGUGACUUGGAGCGGCGCAAGGCGCGCCGGUGUUCGGACUAUGCACCAGGAGGCUUAUCCUCAAUUGGAUCCUCCUUGUCAUCGUCGAAAGCAUCGUUGGGUGUGUCUAUCAUACACACGUCAUACCAUGAAGUGGUCAUCCCGCGUCUAGCGGGUAGUGAGUUCUGGCCUUGCCCCUCAUCGUCGUCCGUACCGUCGAUGUCUUCAGGGCCGAGGUCAAGCGUGUUGGUUGGGUCUUCGACAGUGGCUAUGAAGUGGGUGGUGGGUGGGAAGCAAAAUUCUCCAUCAUCAGCCGUAAGUUCGAGCCGAACAUAGUUCAGUGGCGAGUCGCCUACCAGAGAUAGGUUUUUUAGUGAGUUUAGUACAUCGCCCAUGGGCGAGUGUUGGAAGACGUCUGCGGCGCUGAACUUGAAGAUCGAUAACCGAUCGAGUUCGGCAUCUGCAGACUCGCAAGGUUCGGAACCUGUCGCCGGGGACGAAUCCGGGGUUCCGCUGAUGCGGAUAUCAUACGCAGUAGAAUCUGUGUGCGGCUCGAACGCCGCCGAAUCGGUAGCCCUCGUGAUGGGGUUGAGCUUCCCAUCCCGGGACGACUUGAUCUGCUCCGGAUCUAAGGCCAGAGUUGCUGUAGGAGCUAUCUCCUCGAUGCGGCCCAAUGACAGGUUUAAGCCAUGUCCAUCGAGGCGGCGGGAGCGAUUGCCGCGGUCUUGAAUCCGUCGAAGAUCAAGUCUCCACGGACGUCCCCAACGUAGUUCAAGCUUCCGAAUCUGACCUGAUGGCCAGGGGCGUAGCUGUCGAUCUGCUCCAGAUGGCCAAGCGAGUUGGCCCGCAGUACGAUGCCACCGAACACGAAGAUCUGUCCGGGGAAAAAGGUUUCUCCCUGGACAACGUCACCAUCGACGAUUGAAGGGGCCAUCGAACCUUUUGUCGACGGCACAGUGGAACUCUCAAUGAAAGCACCAAUGUCGGUGUCAAAACCGGCGGAUCUCGGGUAGGGGGUCCCGAACUGUGCUUCUAGGAUCGAUGGUAACAGGAGACGGGGGACACGAUGUUUACCCAGGUUCCGGCCCUCUCUAUGGAGGUAAUACCCUACUUCCUGCUCUAUUGAUCUUGAUGAAUAUGAGUGUUACAAGAGUUGAUCUACCACGAGAUCGUAAUGGCUAAACCCUAGAAGUCUAGCCUAUGUGUAUAUGGUAAUGAAUGUCCCCUAUCCGGACUAUGCUCUCCGGUUUAUAUAGACACCGGAGAGAUCUAGAGUUACAUGGAGUCGGUUACAUAAGAAGGAAUCUUCACAGCUGGUCGCCUAGCUUGCCUUCCACGCCAAGGAAAGUCCAAUCCGGACACGGGUGUAGUCUUCGGCCUUCGUAUCUUCACAGCCCAUCAGUCCGGCCCAAUGAAUAACAGGCCGGACGCCCGAGGACCCCUUAGUCCAGGACUCCCUCACUCGGAGACCUUCUUGUGGGGACCAUCUACGAGAGGAAGUAAAGAGGGAGAUCAGAAGAGGAUACAUGAGAGGUUAGGGUGGGGAGGAGGCUGCGCCGGCGAGCGGCCACGGCUCAAGGCGGUCCGGCCGACGAGGAGGACGAACAAGGGAGAGGAAGAUGCAGAUCGGCAAACUGUGGGUUGGGCUUAUGACGUUGGGUUCUCACAAAACUAUAGCCCAUUUCGAAUUUGGUGCCCGUGACGACACACACACAACGCUUAUGUUGGGCCUAAUCACUCACUUCCAGCCCCCAACUCUGAUUUCCCCCUCAAAGAAAAACAAAACUUCAACCCUUCUCACUCCCCAUGAUCACAACAACAACAACAGAAAUAUCUAUAUGCAAGAUCAGGAAAUAUCUAUAAGGGGCAUUCAGAACACAUGUGACCUAAUCGCUAUAACAGCUUGAUAUUAUGGUGGGAUAGACAUAAACUGGUUCACGAAGGAAAGUUUCAUGAUGCAAACCAAAAUUCAAGGGGAGCACGUGCUAUAAUGGCAAACUAUGUUAAUGCCUACUCCCCUAAAGCAACUAGUAAAACAGGGGGAUGGAGUAUCCCUUCUAGGGUUUUUGUGAAGCUGAAUAUUGAUGUAUCUUUUCAUCAUGGUCUGCUUCAGGGUACAUCGGGGGUUAUUCUUAGACAUUACAAAGGCAGGCUCAUUGUCGGUGGAAACUGGAGGAUAGAUUGUCGUGCGGAUGUAUUAGCAGCAGAAGUUGUGGUGCUAAAGUUUGGGUUAUUCCUUGCACAGAAGGCGGAUUGCAAUCGUCUUGUUGUUAACUCGUACAGUACAUAAGUGAUUGACACAAUAAAGAAUGGAUGACACUCGACCGGAGCGGCGGUUGUAGUUUUCUAUGAUUGUUAAUUUUUGGGCUUGUGAUUUUUCUUUUAUUAGAUUUGAACUUUGUAAUAGGGAAGUAAAUAAGAUGGCAAAUGAAAUUGCUAGGCCAGCGAAAUUUUUUGUCACUAGUGAUUGGUUUGAGGAGUGAAUGAGAUUGUGCCUUUUUUAUUGACAAUGUAACAGUUGUUUCUAAUAAAUAAAGUUGAAGUUUUAUUGAAAAGGACAACAACAAGAAAAAAUAUCCUCAUCUUGUCCCAAGGGAUCUGAAACCCCAGUAUCCUUGCAUCUUUCUUUUGCAUGGCAUGUACAUAAGAUUUUCUUUGUUAGUAGCAUGUGUUGUUGGCGGUGGCGGCAUGAUGUUAGAGGUGACAUGUGUGGACGGAUGAUUGUUUCGACUCCAUUUAUUCUUAGGGCCUGUACAAUGCUAGGUGUUCAGCGAAGUGCUUAGAAAAAUAAACUGAGUUUUUAAAGCAUUUUUUAAGCACCGAUGUCUAUUUCUAAUGAUGAGAGACACCUAAUUAGACGUUUACCCUAUACAAAUAAACGUCGAUGCUUUAAGAAAUACUGAUUUAUUUAUCUAACAACCUUUCUUACGCACCUUACAUGGUAAGGUUCGAGAGCUAGUGGCGUCUUGGUUUCUCUUGUUUCUGUCACAUCAAUAUCAUGCUUUGGAUAUAUUCCAGUGCCCUUUUAUUGAUCACUGCCUAUGGCCAUUGAAAUGAGAUCUGGGACUCGGCCAGCUGCAAGAUACCUCUAGAAAGCGAAUUUCCUCUGACGCACAUAUGAAAUAUGACAGUACAAAAUAGAACAAACACUAAGAUUAGACAGAUGAUUGGAUGAUGUAACUAACUUAGACAUCGCUGCACCCAGGACGGACUUUCUUCUCAGACAUCAGAGAGAAACUGAGUGUCCAUGCUGUCAGAGACGCUGGCCAUUGGGCGUUGUCAGUGACUUUAGUCUCGCCUCGGAUAUGGGAGGGGCUAGAACCACCUUAUAAGGAGGAGUGCCACACUCCCUUCAGGCUAGUCUUUUGCGAUGUGGUGGACUCUUUGCUUAUAGUGGUGUGUCUGAUGCACACCGGAAACGUCCGAACAUAUGCCGAAGGUUGGGAGCCGGGCCUGGGACGCUAACAAUUGGUAUCAUAGCUGGGCCCCAGUCUGCCCUGUUUUAGGGGGAUGAGGUGUCAGAGACGCUGGCCAUUGGGCGUUGCCAGUGACUUUAGUCCCACCUCGAAUAUGGGAGGGGGCUAGGACCACCUUAUAAGGAGGAGUGCCACACUUCCUUCAGGCUAGUCUUUUGGGAUGUGAUGGACUCUUUGCUUAUAGUGGUGUGUCCGAUGCGCACCGAAAAUGUUCGAACAUAUGCCAGAGGUUGGGAGCUGGGCCUGGAACGCUAACACAUGCCAACUGCUUCUCCUCCACUCCACCUGCAUAGCACGCAUAGGAGGAAAUUUGAUGAUUAUUUGAAGUGAUAUCCACAUAAAGCACAGAGUUACUCAGCUAGCAAAGCACCUAUGUACAUCACUGUAUGGCUACCCAACUGAAAAUUCUGCUUCCUGACCCUCCUGAUUCAUGCGGGUGGCAUGGAGAUGGGUACGCCUCUCGAAUCCAUGUGAAUCGAAUCGUUGGAACAGAUGGACGGACAGGGUCGAUACCUUGUGUAGAUGGGGAGGGGAGGCCGGAGUGGCUGCCGUCGACCGACGUACGGCCCGCAGCCGACGGAGGAGCUUCAAAAGUGACCUUUUUGUCGAGCGAUGGCGGUGGUGGUGGGGUGCCGGAUGCGGAGGGUGGUGGGAAGCCGGAUGCGGAGGGUGGAAGGAAGGCUGACGCCUCCGUCGCCGCGGACGUACGAGGAGCGGCCGCGAGCGGUGGGGUCCGGGAGAGGCUGCGCCGGCGAGCGGUCCGGCCGGCGAGGAGGACGGGGAAGGGGAGACGAAGACGACGCAGAUCGGCGGAGUGUGGGCUGGGCUUGUGACGUUGGGGCCUCCGAAAACUAUAUCCCAGUUCGAAUUUGGUGCCCUAACACACAACUCUUACGUUGGGCCUAAUCACUCCCUCCUGGCUCCAUCUAUCAUUCCCCAAAAAAAAUCCUUCACACAUAGAUGGAACUGAUGAUUCUCAAAAGAAAAAGAGAUGGAACUGAUUGUGUCAUGUCUUAAAAAAAAGAUCGAACUGAUUGUCUAAAAAAAACAUAGAUGGAACUGAUGAUUUAUCUCCGAAAAAAAGAUGGAACUGAUGAUGACGUGUCUAGAGUUAGGACCGGAUAUAUGUUAGUAGGAGUAGCUUGUAAGAAAUUACCAUCCUUUACAUAUAACGGGAAUUCGAUGAGUCAUGUCAUGCUCUAGAGGCGUCAGUUCAUCUUAUCAUCUUAGAGGAAACUACAAAGUUAUUUUUAUGAAAAGCAACCAACUCUAGAAGAACCCUCCACACGCAAGGCUUUAAUAAUCGAGCAUAUCUUAACAGCCCACACACGAUUGCAAACUUAGUCCUACACAAGCUUUGCCUUUCUUCUUUACGGCUGACAGCCUAUACAAGGUUUCAAACUCGGUUGCAAAAGUGAUACUAUCCUGAUAAGUGUGUGACAUGUAAAGUGAAUAAGGUGAGUCAUAUAUAGCAAACAUCGGGGUUUCUGUACUUUGUGUGUGAUCAUAUGCACAAUUAAAAAGCAACUUUGAUGAUCAAUCCAAAAGUACGCGUGUAGCUAGUGCAACCUAACGCAUUGUACCAAAAAUCAUUUCAGAUGCAUCCAAACGGAAUAAUUAAAGCUAAUGCAAAGAAGAAAAGAGGUGGUGCCCAGGCUACUAUAAAUAGGCAUGAAGUAUAAAGAUCAUCACAAGCACAAGCAUCAAAACCAAGCAACACUAGUUAACACUAAUCCACCAUGAAGACCUUCCUCAUCUUUGCCCUCCUCGCCGUUGCGGCAACAAGUGCCAUUGCACAAAUGGAGAAUAGCCACAUCCCUGGUUUGGAGAAACCAUCGCAGCAACAACCAUUACCACUGCAACAAACAUUAUCGCACCAACAACAACAACAACCUGUCCAACAACAACCACAACCAUUUCCACAACAGCAACCAUGUUCACAGCAACAACAACCACCAUUAUCGCAGCAACAACAACCACCAUUUUCACAACAACAACCACCAUUUUCGCAGCAACAACAACCAUCAUUUUCGCAGCAACAACAACCACCAUUUUCACAGCAACAACCACCAUUUUCGCAGCAACAACAACCAGUUCUACCGCAACAACCAUCAUUUUCGCAGCAACAACUACCACCAUUUUCACAGCAACAACCACCGUUUUCGCAACAACAACAACCAGUACUACCGCAACAACCACCAUUUUCGCAACAACAACAACCAAUUCUACCGCAACAACCACCAUUUUCGCAACAACAACAACAACCAGUUCUACCGCAACAACAAAUACUAUUUGUUCAUCCAUCUAUCUUGCAGCAGCUAAACCCAUGCAAGGUAUUCCUCCAGCAGCAAUGCAGCCCUGUGGCAAUGCCACAAAGUCUUGCUAGGUCGCAAAUGUUGCAGCAGAGCAGUUGCCAUGUGAUGCAACAACAAUGUUGCCAGCAGUUGCUGCAAAUCCCCCAGCAAUCCCGCUAUGAGGCAAUCCGUGCUAUCAUCUACUCCAUCAUCCUGCAAGAACAACAACAGGUUCAGGGUUCCAUCCAAACUCAGCAGCAGCAACCCCAAGAGUUGGGCCAAUGUGUUUCCCAACCCCAACAGCAGUCGCAGCAGCAACUCGGGCAACAACCUCAACAACAACAAUUGGCACAGGGUACCUUUUUGCAGCCACACCAGAUAGCUCAGCUUGAGGUGAUGACUUCCAUUGCGCUCCGUACCCUACCAACGAUGUGCCGUGUCAAUGUGCCGUUGUAUAGAACCACCACUAGUGUGCCAUUCGGCGUUGGCGCCGGAGUUGGUGCCUACUGAUAAGGAAAGGUCUCUAGUAAUAUAUAGUUGGAUCACCGUUGUUUAGUCGAUGGAUAUGUCGAUGCAGCGGUGACAAAUAAAGUGUCACACAACGUCGUGUGUGACCCGCCCAAACUAGUUGUUUAAAUUCUGAAAUAAAAUACAAAUAAAGUUGUAUCAAGACAAUGUUCAUAUUGGCAUUGUGUGGAUGUCCAUAUGAUUGCCAUGCUUGCAAGUUCAUAAGUUUGUCUUUCCUGGUCACAAGCGCAACCUGGUGCCUUAAUUAAUUAUGCAUGUAUUGGAAUAAUUACUAUUUAAAUAUAAUAGUGUUACUGUAAAAUUUGGGUUGAACUCUUUAUCGGUUGGAGAUUUGAGAUCUUGUUUUUUAUUGGUUUGUAUCUAGUUCCAACUACUACCAUUGUCUAUAGUGACAAUCACAACCAGUUUUAUCGUUAAUCAUGUUUGCUUUCU
rnacentral:lncRNA from 1 species